CUUUGCUCUUGAUGACAGAAGUACCUUGUCAGGGUUACUUCAGGCACUCCUGUGAAGUAAAAACCAUUUCAGGUGACUACCUCAUGAAGCUCAUUGAGAGAACAGCUAAAGUUUGCAGCGCUAUCAAAAAAGCAAAGGGUGGCUACUUUGAGAAAUCUAAAAUAUAAUACAUGUUUUCAGUUAUUUCACACUUUUUUCUUAAGCACAUGAUUCCACAUGUGUUCAUUCAUAGUUUUGAGAAUCUACAAUUUAAAUAGUAAUGAAAACAAAGAAAAUGCAUUGAAUGAGAAGGUGUGUCCAAACUUUUGGCCUGUACUGUAUAUAUAUAUAUAUAUAGAGAGAGAGAGAGAUACAUACAUACACACACACACACAUUUAUAUGCAUUGCAUCACACAUUGAUGCAAUACAUAUGUAUGCCAUUUCAAUACUUUUCAACCUUCCGCUGCAUGUUAUUUGUAUGCCUUAUUAAAAAGAUAAUCACUUUUGUUACUCCGUGAUAUAGUUUAAAAAGAGGCAUGCCAAAGUAGUCUACUAGUCACCCCAUUAAAAUGAUUAUUCAAAUGAGGCACAUUUAACACAGACGAAGCCUAAAAUUAUGAGAUGGUCCAUUUAGUAUGUGAUACUGCAGUAAUUCUCAACCUUUUUAAAUAAAGACCCAACUUUACAGGGACAUGUUUCAGGGAACCCCAUACUUAUUAUAAUUAUGUCAUAGGUGAAUAUUGGAAAAUGUGUAGUGAGCUUGUAGAAUUGUUAUUUCCAUUAUUUAAGAAACCAAGGUUGAGAACAGCUGCUCAACUGCAUGCUCUAUUAACAGAAAAAGAAAAAAUAAAUAAAACAGACCAUAAUUUAUUUAGAUAUUUAUUAAAGAUUUAGGGGAAAAUACAGGAAACACAAACAUGUCAAUGUCCUUGAAAACUGUAAGACCCCAGUUCAGCGUGAACAAUACAUUACAGUGUCAUGAAUUUCUUGGCCAUCUAUUUGCCCUAAAGAUCCAGGGGUCUCAAAACAUUGCAAAUGCAAUCAGGCAGUCCUUAAGAACAAGCAAGACCAUAAUUCAACAUGAAUGGAACACACUUAAUUCACGAGCGCCUCCAACUCUGAACCAUUUGGCCCUAUAACUCUUUGACUUUUCUGUCCUUGGUCCUCCGCCACACCUCUCAGGUCCAAAAUGCAGCCACAUCUGCUGUGUAUUCCUGUAUUGUAAUUCUGUGCGAUCAAAUUGACGAGCAGCCUCAGAAACAAAUAGGAAAAAAAAGUGUUGUAAAGUUCAAAUUAAAAAUAAGUUUAAAUUCAACACCCGUCAUCAAGAUUUCCACAUCCGUUGUAAAGUAGUAAAUCCAGUAUUUUGAUGGGCAGACUCACCAAACAUGCAGCCCAGCAUUAGCAUGUCCUUGAAGGCCUUCUUUGGUCCCUUUCCUGCCCAGUUGAAGAUGCAGGCUAGACUGUCUGCCAUUGUAGCAGAUAUCAUUUGCGGGAUCAUAUUUUUAGGAUUGGUCCCUCUGAUGCCAGGUAGGUAAUUUCAACAGAUUAGAGAAAAAAAAAAUGGUUAUCUUACUUAAGUGUACAAUGUGCCACGUCAAACGGACAGAGUAUUGUAUUUAAUAUGUGUGAAGCUUUAUCCCCAUAGACACAAUAUACAUAUAUCGUGUCUAUGUUAAUCCCAGUCUACAUACACUUGGUAGCAAUUAGCUCCAUGCCGCUAGCUUUCUUAGUUCAACAUCAUAAACUGCUGGUAACAACUAUGCUUGAGCAAUAAUCCACAAUGUUAACAUUUAGUCAAACAGUGACAGGGAUAUGAUAGUAUCUGAGUGGGAUAAUAAGAAUUUACCAGUUUGUAUCACUAGCAGGGGGACGAAGAAUUGAUCAACUGCCGUUGUGCCCACUUGCCAGUUGUCACAAAUGCCCUCCAAAAGGUACGCUGAUUCAACAACAGUUUUUCAAACAUUGAAAUAGUAACUGUCAAAUAAGCAUUGAAUCAAUGCAGAUUUUUUAACCUCAACAAAAAAUAACCAAUUCAACCAAAAUCAAACAUUGAAUCAAUCAAUGUCUUUUGCUAUCUGGGCACCGUGUCAUCAGCAUAAUCUCCUGUUUACUGUUUGUCUUACAGCUCUUAAAAUACAUUCCCCAUGGUGCACUAGGCUGUUGCAACGCUUGCAUCCUUUGCAUGCUUCUUACAAAUGCUCACUUGACUGUUGAAGAGGGAUGUCAAAUCAAUUCAAACUCACAACUUUCUAACUAAUGUUCUUCCUUCACAAAGGGUUCAGGUCAGGGCAAAGGUUAGGAUGAGGGUAAAGAUAUACCUUUUGUCAGGGAUACCUAGGCACUUUUUUUUCUCUGCAUAAAAGCCCUGCUCUUUACAUGUUUCAGUGGAUGCAAAAGCUGUUGAUGAUUUUUACUUUUUUUAUUAAAAUGAGCACUAAUAUUCAGAGGUAGGGGUGUGGAGUGAGCAGGUUAUCCCUCUUGCAAUUUCUCUAAAAUUGUCAGGACCGAAAAUGUAAACUCAAGCUUCAGAAUUCAAAUCUGCAAGAUAAGAACAUUUGUUUUGCUUGUUACAUGAUAAAUGAAUUUAUUUGAGCUGAAUUUGCCAAAAAAACUUAGAACAAAAACACUACAUCAUCAAACAACACAGCCCACAUCGAAGUACUCUAUCCUUAGACUUCAUUGAGAUACUCUAUAUUCAAAUAACAGAAUAAAUACAAGCAAUAAAACAGUACAAAUAAAGAGUUUUUGUCAAUAUUCCACUUGAAUGAAGUCUCUGAAGGCAGUGGUGAAUUUUGAGUUCAAAUAACUGUAAUCUUUCUACAAAAUUGCAUUUUAUUCCCCAGAAAAUGAAAACUUCCAGUUUGAAACAAGUUUAUGUCCUGAAAUUUUAGCCAGAGGCGGCGUUUUCAUGUUGAAGUUGAAGGCUGAUGAUAAAUCCAGAAAGUAAAUAAAUUCAUCUCCCACAAUGUGAAUCUAAUGUUUGCACAUCUCUUGAUAAAAAGGAGGUGUUUAGUGACUAUCUCUGUGUAAUGAUUUUGUAUCAAAAGUUCUUUUAUCUCUUACAUUUAACUCACGUCUUCUCUGAAGCACGGCCCCUGAUUUUCUGUGGACCAGGUUUUUAUUUGGAGGCUGAUUUUUCCCACAUCCUGACUCUCCCCUGCUGUCUUUCUGAGUGCUUCAAAGAGCAGGUAUCCACAGCCCCCUGGGGCCCCGUGAUUGAAAGCUCACAGUGAAGGACUGAGUGCCUAACUCUUAUAAAGAAUGCAACAGAGAAUGCAUUUAUUAUUCAGAUUACAUUCUGCUCUGUCAACACAAAAAGCAGCCAGAGUAAGUUGUGAUUUGAGGAUUUCACAGGUGGUGUCACCUGUCACGGGUGGAGGAAAAUAAGAGUUUUGCAUUUAACGCUGUGUUAGAUUUAUAAGCUUUAGGAGGAUGAAAGUCAGAGAGGCUUAUCGGGUGUUUUCUCUUUGACCACCGCUGGUGAGAGAUACUCAUCCCCUUCAUUUCAGAGGUUUGCGUCUCUAAAACUCGGUGUGACCGCUUCAAAAACCUGAAAACCUCAGUGUAGAGAAAUCAUGUGAUUUGUCCUCCACUGAAAUGUUAGCAUGGCCUUAACAUUGAGAGGAGGGGGAACUCAGAUGCAAACAUGCAAACCCUAACCCCCCCCCGCAGGCCUGAUGCUACCACCGUAGUCCGGUCUUCACUUGGCUGUAAAAUCAGUUUCCUCUACAUCUGUGCCUUCACAGCAACUGUCUCUACACAUGAUCAACUCAUAUCAAAAUGCCUCUCCAGCUAGACAGACCCCCACGGUGCCACAGGCCACAUUCUCGAUCAGGGGCUCGGUGACAUGGCAGAUCAAAAAUAAGAAUACUGCCAAACCCCUCUGCAGAAAAGGCAGAAUAUGUUUCCUGUUAAUCUGAGAGUAAAGGGGCAGCAUUGACUUCUUUCUUCUCUCUGGAGUGCUAAAAAACAUCUCCAGAUACUCCCUUCAGAGAUAUCUGCAUAAUUAUUUCUCAGAUUUGUUUGCAGAGGUAUCAUUUACCCACAUUUCUGUGGUGCAGCUGCGAAAAAUGAAUUUGUCAUCAGGUCUAAAGCUCUUUUGGCAGGCUAUCCCGCAGCCAGCCAAGGUCCUUGAAGUAGGAAAGUCUUUCCUGCUGCUCGGCUCCUCUGUAUCCCAGCAGGUCCAAGGAUUAAAUUUACGACUGCCGUCAAAGCCUCUGACAGGCCUUGAAGGAAGCGCGGCACUGCUCCGGCUCCCCCAGAUAUCAUCCCCAGAGGACGAGGAAGACGAGGCCUUUUCACUGGGGGCCGUGGAGAAAGCGGUGCCCCGGUGAGCUGGCAUAAUGUGACUCCAGGCUUAGACGCCACGCAUGCCACUACACUCUAUGUCUCUCUCCAUCUCGCCUUUUCUUUCACCGUGCAGCCGUGUCAUCCAUGCAUGUCCCUCCCUGCUGCCUAUUCUGGCUGGUUUGUCUGCUCCCAUCAGUCUCUGCACUCUGUCAUUCACACUUAAAUCAGCCAUUCACAGCCAUAGAGUUCCCACUUUUCUCCUCAGAAAUUCAGGAUCCAUCCCGAUUGCCAGUCCUAAUGAAUAAAAUGUGUGAGUCAUAUGAUUUUAACUUAAAGGACAUACAGGAGACUUAGAGUGAUAUGCGCCACAAGCACUUUGAAUGUCUUUUGACCUUUUUCCUAACAAAUGCUACUUGGGAAACAUGCUACAGUGGAAAUGGACACUGGCAUUGUGGUGAGAGAGAAAAGAGGGUCAACUGAGAAACUGUGAUUGUUCUGGUUAUUUUUUCAGAUCUGAUAUACAGAGGUUACAGUUUCACUGUUGAGAAAUACAGGAGUAGAAAAGCUGUUAGGAGAUGCAUCUUUUGAAGCUCAGCCCCUACUGUCCUUAAGUCUACCAAACACUCCCGGAUAGACACUCAGUCCACUACUCUUUUAGCCACAUCUUCAUCUUCAGUGACCUAUCAUUGCUAUGAAACAUCCCUUAAAAUUUGCUCUUUGGUGUGAAUCUAAACAAGGACACAGCACAGGGUGACACACAGCCAAUUUGGGAAAUUCGUAGACUGAGGCACACUUUAAUGUGCCAAGUUGGGCGUGGCAAUGCAGUAGGGGAGGUGUCGACAGAAUCAGCUGGUGCACUGAUGAUUCCAUGCCCAGAAAGUUGGUUAGCUGGUUAGUUUUAGGGGCAGGCAGAGUGCAGUUGGUCAAGUGGUUAUUUGGGAGACUGGUACAACAGUGCGCACACAUCGAUAAUACCUUGCAGGCAGGUUUCCAGUGUCGGGCACAUUUCAGUGCAAUAAAUAAUCAACAACGACCACUAUUCAGCACAAAUACCUGAGUCAGCAAAUAUAUUUAGAUCUACAAUAUUAAAUUCUGUGAAUAUUCUAUCUGGAGUUAGGCCAAAAUGCCAAUAUUAUAGCCGAGUUCAGUUCACAUGCCAACUUAAAAAAAAAAAUUCAAAUCUGGAAAAAUUUUCAGUUUUGGUCUUUCUGCAUUUACCUCUAAACCCAGUUCGGCCUCAGCAGACAUAAGUCUGGUUCUGCUCGAGAUUUCUGCCUGUCAAAGGAAGUUUUUCCUUCACAUUUCACUUCUUGAGGUCAUCUCUUAAGAUCUCUUGUUAAUAUUAAGCUGUAAUUCAUACCAAAAAUCAAACUCUUGCUUUUGGUUUUUGAGUUUUGUGUCUCUCACUGAGUCCAGGUGAACACUUCAAACUGUAAAAUGUAUUUACCCUCCUGUCCUUUAUUUCUAUCUCUGCUCCUUGUUAUAUUCUCUAAUAACACUCUCUGUAGGCUGUCGGGGAGCAUUUGUUUCCUGCUCCUUCGGGCUCUGGAAACAAACCUUGGGAAAAUGUUUGUGGGAGGGUUAAUGAAUUUAGAUCAGUGUUUGCAGCAAACACAGCCUCGCUAUAUCCAUCACGGCGGCCUUGAAGUCGGCAGGCUGGAGGUUAGAGGUGAGUCGUCUCUAAGACAAUGCAGCUGAUUAGGGAGGCAAACAGCAGAGACUGUGGAGCAGUGUCUCACAGCCAGAGACCGGCUAAAUGUUACGCCAAGGUCCACAGCCACAGAGCCAAGAAGCCUGGGUAAAACAGAGGACCAAGGACAAAGACUUGAAGGCAUAUUGAGACCCGUACGGUUUACUCAGCAAAUGAAAAAAGAAAAAAAAAAAACAGAUUCAGUCUGAGAGCUGCAUGAGGAUGUGUCAAACUUACAGCAGGUAAGACUGCAAAUUUUAAAAACUGCAAGUCCAAGAAAUGAUUUACUCUCUGGAACGGGAUUUAAGUUUAUGGGACACCCAGAGAAGACACAGGAUUUGCUGUUAUACAGGUAACCACAAUCCUGGUUAUCUCCAAGUUUUCAAUAAUAGGAGACAUUUACGUCUUAAAUAGUUCUACAAUUAAACUGAGAAAAGGGGCUUGUAACCUUUUAGACAAAUAUUUUUCAGAGUUUUGCAAAUAUUCCCAGUUAACUUAUAAGAAUAUGAGCGUUUAACUGACUUAGAACCACAUGAAAAACACUCAACCCGAAAAUACCUAAAAAAAUACCUUAAAAUUUUGCACGCGUGCAUCCUUUUUAUGGGGAUUCUGAAUAUGAUCACCCUACCAAAGAGGUUGGACAUUUACACAGACAUCCAGUUGAAGCAGUACAGAAAAUCUGAUCCCUUUCCUGGUUUUCUCCAAAAUUAAAAACCAUUGGAGUAAAUAAAAUAAUUUUUGCCUGGUUCUGCAUUUGAACACUGCUGUGGUUUUGUGAAAACAAAUGUUAUUUGACACCAUAUUUCAAAUGUGUGCUGGAGAGGUCCAAACAUGUUGCAAUAGAGAAAUCUAUAAACCCAUUUAUGAUGGGUUACGGGUUUAUGAUGGGUUUAUAGAAAUAAGAAUCGUGCCUCCAUUGACUGGCCUUGGCUUGGACUGUAUCAUGAGUUCAUUUUCACACACUCACAUUCAUAAAUUUUGUAUUGAUACAAGACAUGAACACAACAGCGAGUGACUCCUAGAUACCGUGAACUUGGCCAGUUAUUUGAAACACAUUUCAGAGCUAGAAGUCAUCGCUGACAGCUUGAAUUUCACAACUGGGAACCCGGGUGGAGAUAUUCUGUCCUCGCCGAGGGUGAAAUUUUAAAAUGUAUCAGUUUAUAAAGACGACCAAAAGUAAUAAAUCAUACAAACACGACUGUUUGGGGACCAGAAACACUGAUAUUUCUCCCCGGCUCAGAUUCCUCUCUGUAACUCCGAGACUUACUUGUCAUGCAGAGGCUGAGAGCAGAUUCACUGCACAUUUAACUGGGAUAAAUAGCAUUUCCUGGGGAGUGAGCGGGCUCUUAUUGGAGAUGCAAGUUUGAGCAGGGAUGGCAAUUUGUGCCCAUCAUGCAACACUAAUUUAUAAUGACACCCCUGGAAACGCUGCUUCUCAUUUCAUUUGCAUUGCUAACCGGCCUGCAGACCAUGCUAACAUGGCUCAACAGUCAGAUACGGAGGGGGCUAAUUGCGCAGAGGUGGCCAGUAGCAACAUGAGAGCCUAUAAUUGGAGGACACGCUCAGUGUGUGUGAAGCACCAUUUGCAUAUCACUUCCUCUGUCUCUGUGAGGUGAUGGAACAUUAUUAGCUGGAACACUCUUGGCAUCCACGGUCAGCAUGUCCUGCAUUAUUUAUUUUUACCACACAGUUUCUCUGACACAGGGAAGUAGACUCUUCUCUGUAUGUUUCUUUCUCUAAACUUGAAUUUAAAAGGACAAACUGAGUCUGAAGAUGAUGGUAAUGAUUCAUGGCUGCUUUGCAUAAAAUUUUGCCAAAACUGUUGACAGUAAAUCUUAUUCCCAGAAUUUCUUUGAAGAUUAAACUUUUAAAAAGUAACUUCACUCUCAAAUUACAGUUUUAUCCUCUCUCUGAACCCUAAAACACACAAAAGAAGUGGGAUGAAAAUGACAUCAGAAAGUGAGGCCUUACUGGGAGUCAACUGGUGCUUUGGCAGGCCCAUUAACAAAAGAUUCAAAUUCAGAUUCAGAUUCCUUUAGUAACUAUUGUGUAAAACACAUAGGAAUUUUAGUCGUAUUUAAGAAGUUGAUGUGCUGCAACAGAUCCCUACAUGGUGUAAAGAUGUUUCAGAAUGACUCAUUUCCAAGUGUAUCAACAUCUGUCAUCUGUGCCUGUUUACAUCCAGGUUGUAAAGAAUUAUAGCAGCUGAUGACCGGACCUAAAGCCGGAGUGUCAGGUCACACAACACAGUGGCACAUUCUCUUGACUGAAACACUCCCUUGCUCACCCCUCCCAUUUGUUAAAGUCUUGCAUCAAUGGUGGCCUUCCUGUAAGAAGUUCCUCUGAUGCACAAUAAGUAUUGCCCUUUAUUUGUCAAGUUUUGACUGACAAAAACAUCUGUCAACAGCAGUGUUGGCCUUGCAGCUUGGGUGUGUGUGACAUGUGCAAAGGUUGCAGGAAAACCCUGAAACUGAGCCCUCUAGAAAGAUAGAUUUAUUGUUUGUCUUUAAAAACUGGAGCUCUAACUUUUAGCAUGCUGGUGAGGCACACCCUCACAGGCCUUUUGGGGCUUGUUAAAGGAGACAAUACACGGAGGAACAGCAGAGUCAUCCUGGCCUCCUCCCUGCAGAACAAUAAGCCUGUUGUGUCCUCCUCAGCACAGAGGAGAAGUCCUGGGAGACAAGGAGGCAGCUGUGGAGGGAUCCUGGGACAAGGGCGAGGACUAGGGAAGGAGGAGUGCAGCAGAGGGAGGGUUUUUUUAGGGGGGAGGGGGCGAGGUUAUGGAGUCUAGAGGGGAGUCUAGGUUGUGAGAACCCCUGAUCACCCCGCUCAACCCCCACCUCCCCACCCCGAUCUUUUCUGACUCCAGAAAAGGCCAGUGUGACAGAACUGCCAUUUGCAAUGCAGAUCAUGUCCAGGAGGAGGAAAAAAAGAAGCCUGGAAUCAAUGGUCCUGUAUCAAUCUGCUGACUGCUAAUGUCCUCCACAUUCUGAUUCUUGACCCCUUCCCAGACAAACCUCCAUUGUCCCCUGAGGGCCUCGCCUUUUCCCCUCCAAAGAUGCCACAUUAGGCGAGGAAAAUCCACAACUCCUUCUUCUUUGAAGACAGAUGCAGUAACUGUCAUUUAGAAAUGUUUUUAGCAGGUUUGGGGCCUCGGUAUAAAAGACUGAAAGGAGAAAAGAGUGAGAUGGGGGAGGGCGGAAGGCAAGGGGACCAGUCAGUGUUUGGCCAACGCAACAUUUAACCCUUGUGGUCAUUGUCAUAAUAUCCCAAUUUGUGUCACAAAUCUGGUUAGAGCGACACGGUAAAUCAGCAAGAGAAAGAGAAGAGUGUCAGGUAAUACAGCUCAGCAACAAAAGGAGGACGUUUGAAAUCCCUCCUCACACCUGAGCCACUCCAAACACACAGACUGGCUCAUUAUUUUUACAUGAAGCCUCUAAUAGACUGACAUCAACCUGAUAAUUAAACACACCAAUUAGCAAAUCAGAUCAUACACUGUGUCUUUAAUCCCAGACGAGACAUAACAUCACAAAGAUCUCCUACUUUUGAUAGAAAUAUUCAUCCAACUAUGGCAGACUUUUCCCUUGGUACCGUGUAUUUCAAUUUGUAAAGUUGAUUUUAAGUCAUUUGAGUGAGAUAAGCCGUGAUUCCUGAUUCCCUCACAGCGGGAGCCAAUCAGAUCAUUAUGUCCAGCUAGGUUUGAUGUAUCAGUGCUUCAGCUCCUGAACAGAGAUAAUCAAAGCUUUAAGGAUGCACUGAGAUGAAAGAGAGAGUCUGAUGAUCAUUUUCAAACACUGAUUUCUUCUAUUAAAUAUCUCUGCUUUAUCCAGGAAAGAUACCCUCAUCCGCUCCUCCUGUAAGUCAUCCAGAAAAGCAAGAUGGGGAUUGUUUGAGAAACUCUUCUCCUGCAAAGUUUCAGACUUUCAUUUGGUGAAGGAAGUGUAUUAAUACGUCACUGUGGCCACAAGAGACUUUUGAAUGUGGCACUGAUCCAAGUUUUUCCCACAUUUCCUGGGUUUGAUGUGACAUCGCUCAACGUUCACAGGGCCAUCUUUAGGAUCAAACUAGGACUGGAGGUUUGGAAUUGUUUUUUGUUACCCUGUGGAGGGAGGUGUUUCAGGGCCACCUUGUAGGAAAAAAAGAAACAGGCUUUCAAGAUUUAAGUUGCAAAAUAAUGACAAUAAAUUCUGUAAAAUUACGAGAACGUAAGUGGCUUAUUUUGUGCUAAGGCUGUCUCUUAUUUUGAAACGGAAGAUCAGCGCUAACCUGAGCUCAAUUGGAGAACAUGAAGCAUCUUUGAAGUUAAUUUUGAGUAAAGGUUUCAUUGAAGUCUGAAUUCCAGAUCUAUCAGUAUGUUAGCACCAGACCAGCAUUUUAAAAUUCACCCUGUCACUUGUGUGAAUCACACAGUUAAUAUAGAUUUAGUUUUAGUCUUAGGACGAACACGCCUCUCAGGUUCAGUCACACGUCAGUAUUUUUGCCCUGAAUAGCUGUAGUCUAGUUUGGCUGAUGGAGUCACACUCAAAGACCCAUUCUGAUGAAAUUCAUGUUUUUCUUGUUGUCUACAUGUUCAUACGGCAUUUUUCUGAUGCUACGGGACAUAUCAUGAGAAAAAUCAUAAGCAAAAUUGCAUUUCUGAGUAUUUCUGAAUUCAAAUCUCUGUGGACCUCUGUCAGAUCCAAACAGAAAGUUCAGACACUGUAAGAUUUCCUACAUCACAACUGCAAGCUCCGCCCCCAGACACCCGCUAUGCAGGCCAGACUCAGAGAAGUAAAGAGGACAAUCGUGAAACAAGCAGUUCGCAAUGCUCGUAAGAAAGCUAAUUACGAUAUUAACUUUUAUCAUGUGUCAGAACACAUUAGUGUUAAAGAGCUGAAUAGCGCCUAUGUUACCUGCUUCUUCUACUACACCAGCAACGUUAGGCUGCGCAUCUGGAAACUAGGAUAAAAACAGGAUCUGAAUGGUAAGCUGUUAUUGGCAAUAACAAAAAAAAAAACAUAAAACAUAAAACUGAUGUCAUACCAGUAGUGUCUUUGUUUCAACAUUUAACGGAAAAGUUUAUACCUAAAAAAUGUGACAGAAACAGAGAGAUUAAGAGCAUUUGGAACAUUUUGUCCAACAGGUUCAACUGCCCAUCAUCUCAUUAAAACAAAACAUUUGUUUGGAUGAGUUUAAGUUAUUAAACUAUUUAUUAAAGUACUAUGUGAGGGGGGAUGAGUACCUGACGUCACAUCCUGGUGGGAUGGGGGAACUGACGUCACAUCCUGCUAUGGCUCCACUUUGUGGGUGUGUUAAGCCGUGUGAAUAUAAGCAAGUGGCUGUGCUGUUGUUUUUCACUCACCAUUUCUUUUUUCCAGGACUGAAGCAAUUGGCAAAAUGGAAUCUUUUGCGGACAAAGUCGCCUGUGAAGGUCCGUCUUCUCCUGAUACGGCAGGCGCAACAGAUUUGUCUGCAACACCUCACCAUAAGAAGUGAUGGGCCUGGGGUUUAACUAAAGGAUCACUGUCUGAGUUUAAUAUAGAAUAUGAAGGGCCCAAUGGGUACAUAUACACACUUGAAUAUUGCGAUAGCCACGUUACGCUGUGUGUAAAGAGUGGGAGCGAAGAGCAGGGGCUGAACGUAAGUCUGUCUGUAAAAGACUGGAAACUGUUUCGCUUUGUGGCCUGCUGAGACCUUGAUCAGCCUGGUUUUCUCGAGGUGCUCUAUACAUCACAAUGGAUCAGUGGUACAGGGCCGGAAAUGUAUCGCAUUUAGGCCGACCGUUUCUUUAAACUUUCGGAAGAUUUUAUUUUUCUGAGUGUCUGUGAGGAUCGUGAGCCGAUGAUCGCAGCGAGAGGCCGUGAAGAGUGGAGACUACACCCAUACCCUGUUUCUUAUCAGGAGUAUGAGAUAUAUUUUAAGAUAACUUUCUCUAUUCAGUGGUGUGACUGGAGGUUAUCUGCAGGGGGGGUUUAACAAAGUUGACAAAGAGAGAUAGAGUGGCAGUCUCUUUUGAACGUAUUAGAAAACGUCUUGAUUUUGGUCAUUCAUCGUCUAAUACUCCGAGCGACAUCUUGCCUGCCCUUUGUAGGCCGAAAAUCAUCAGGCACAUAGACUACUAUGCAUAAAUAGGUGGGUUGUAUAUUUUUGUGUUUAUGUUGGAUCCCUCUGACGAGUCAAAAUGUUAAUAUCUUUUUUCUAAUUACUAGGAAAUGACAGAGUAUCCACUUCUCCACUGGCCCCCAGGACCCCUCCAUCAUCACCCUGGGCACCCUGGUCACCCCCUUCAACUCCGAGCCCGCCAGCACUGCUGAUCCAGACACCCCCUCCAUCACCAAACCCGGUAUCAUCCUGGUCACCACCACCAUCUCAGAGACCAGAAUCACCCUGGGCCAAAGAGGAAAAGAACCAUCCAGACUGUUAUCGACACAAGGUUCAAAAGCCAGCAUCUGUGAUGUUUUGGGGGUGCAUUAGUGCCCAAGGCAUGGGUAACUUACACAUCUGUGAAGGCAAAAUUAAUGCUGAAAGGUACAUAUAGGUUUUGGAGCAACAUAUGCUGCCAUCAAAGCAACACCUUUUUCAUGGACGCCCUGCUUAUUUCAGCAAGACAAUGCCAAGCCACAUUCUGCACGUGUUACAACAGCGUGGCUUCGAAGUGAAAGAGUGCAAGUACUCGACUGGCCUGUCUGCAGUCCAGACCUGUCUCCCAUUGACACUGUAUGGCGCAUUAGUGUAAAAGUGUUAAAUACAACAACGGAGACCCCGGAUUGUUGAACAACUGAAGCUUUACAUCAAGCAAGAAUGGGAAAGAAUUCCACCUUCAAAGCUUCAACAAUUAGUCUCUUCAGUUCCCAAACGUUUAUUGAGUGUUGUCAAAAGGAAAAAUGAUGUAACACAGUGGUAAACAUGCCCCUGUCCCAACUACUUUGGCACGUAUAGCAGCCAUGAAAUUCUGAUUUAAUUAUUAUUUGCAAAACAAAAAUUAAGUUUAUGAGUUUCAACGUUAAAUAUCUUGUCUUUGUAGUGUAUUCAAUUGAAUAUAGGUUGGAAAGGAUUUGCAAAUAAUUGUAUUCUGUUUAAUUUACAUUUAUCACAAUUUCCCAACUUCAAUGGAAUUGGGUUUUGUACUACUGCAGAAUAGCAGUGGGAGAGUAAAUUUGCUGAGAUGUGAUUCUGGAACCAAAAGUUCAUCAUGUGCGGGGCAGCCAGCCCUCCGAAUAUUCAUGAUGCUGCACGACAGAGACGGAGGGUCGUCCUGUGGCACCUUGGCUCUCAUCGUGAGAAUGCAUGUGGAGGCAGUGACCCCGAAACCCACUCAGGGACUGACUGAAGAGGUAAAAAUCAAAAUAUCACUCUGAGCUAAUGAGAGCAUCAGGAGCAAUUUGUCUGUGGAUGACAUUGUAUUCACUGGAGAUAUUUUUGUUCUGAGCACAUUAACUCAACUGGACUUGGACAAAAAAUAGCAGAAUGUUGCUCUUUUUUUAGAGCUGUGCCUCUUCAUCAAUUUUUGCAUAUCCUCUUGACUCUGUAGAACAUGUGCAUGAUUUCUGACCAGGCGGCUUCCACAUUAACAAUGUUAUACAGCGCAUGAGCUUGCAGUGUAUGGUAUGAUUUGGAAGCCAAUCUGUCAGUUCAGCCUGUCCACAAGGAGCCUCUUCAGUCCUGCUGCCUGCUGCGUAUUUAUGAGCAGGUCUGAGCCCAGCACUGUUAAUCAUUCAUGAAACUUCGACAAGCCGCAAAAGAAGUCAACACCAGGCUGCAUCCUUUCACUCUCCUCCUCACAGACAUUCAUCACAAAAAUACAAGAAGCAAAAACUGAAUCUAACUAUCCUGAGAUUAGAAACUAGAAAUAGACAACAGGAAGGAACCUCAAGAUGCAGGUCAAUGGAGGAGUUAUUUAACAGCUGUACUCAAAAGAUGAUCUUAUAAGCUGUGUAAGUGCAAAGCAUGCAAAUGCCUGCAGUGAUAAUUUAGCCUUUUCGUUUUCAUUUUUUGGAGUAUCUUUAUUCAUCAUCACAUCCUGUAAGACUUCUGAUAACAACUUUAGCUUUAUACCAAUCCAGGGGUGUAGCCUUCCAUGGACUAGGUCAUUGUGGUCUUCGUGGACCUGUCAUGCUGAACUGAACUGGGCUACGCUUUAACUGCUUCAUCACCACCCUAGUGAUGGUGUCACAUGGCACUGCUCUUGUAGCAUAGAAGCUGCAGGCUACCUGGCUAGCAUAGCGUAGUUUAAACACCAUCACUAACAUUCAACUCUCGAUUUACAGUGUGUUUCUCAGCACUUCGAGACACCGCUAUCUCAUUUGUAUUCAAGCGCAAAUAAUUAUGAGAUAGAUUGGUCUGGGUAUGAUGCACCUGAUGUACGACAGAUUUGUCAGCCGCAUUCAGGGAAGUCUUUGCCUUUGGUGCACCGCUGUGACGUGUUUGGUCUUUGAAAGUUGCCUUAGGAACAAGGACAAAGCUUUUGUCAAGAACAAUAGUGGAGACACGUACAGGAAAGUUUUGUUGAGGUAGAUUUUCAGGCUAAGAGCUAUCAGUCAUUAUUAGAUUUUUCUUGGCAAAAUGUUGUUGCAUGAAAGCCAAAAUGGUCAUGACUAAGGAGAAUGGAGGUGCCACUCGACGGCUCUAGUAACAUAGUUUAAGUAAAAAGUAUCAGAAAAGCUCUAAAAUUACUGCCAGCUCCAGAAAAAAUUAGGACUUUAAUGAAAACAGCCCCCAACAAUCAAUGUACUAGCUGUUGGACUAUGAACUUGACAAAGAUGCAAGAAUCGGACUAUAAUAUCACUGCUUUCACAGGAUUUGCAAUAUAGUUUGCACGGCAACAGAACGGGGGUGUUUUUUUAAAACAGUUCAUCUGGAUCAUAUUAAACAAGGUGAUUUCUUCAUCUGUAAUAACUCAACCCAAUUUAUUAAUCCAUUCAUAUUGACCUCAUUACACCCAGAGCUGAUCCUCCUCUGAAACAAAUGCUCUAUAGUUCCCAAACACCAUUCUUAUUAAUAAGAGAAAACAAAUUACAGAGGGAGGAAGGCCUAAUAAAAUUAAACUGUUCCCUCGAGGUUGGUGGAAACACUCUAAAUGGUGAAAUGUAAGUGUAGUAAAUCACAGAGUUGAAAAGUUUACAUUAAAAUUGUUAACAUAUUUCACAGUGGGCCCAGAGGAGAGAGAUAUUCAACAUGGAAGAGAGAAAAUAACUUUAUUAACAGGAAAUAAUGUGCUGGGUUUAUAAACUGAUGUGCCUGACCUCUGUGGAAGAGUCUGGAAAUAUUUUUUUCUUAUGAAAGAGGGAGGACAGAGCAGGUCAGCUUUUUCUGGCUAAUGGCAGUGGUGCUGCAGACGUCCUUGUGUGUGCGUGCGUGCGUGCGUGCGUGUGUGUGUGUGUGGAGGAGGGAGUGAGAUUGUGUGUGCAUUGUGAGGUCAGCUAAGCUCUCCAGGGUCAGUUUGAACAGUGUGAGGAUCAUAAACUCAUAAACCCACUCAAUUAGUCUCCAUUAGGACACCAGCAAACACUCGCUAAAUCGCCUUCUUUACUGACAGCUCACGUCAGUGUUUGGAGUGACGGUGAACAGAUAAGUUCCCUUGUGAGUCUGAGUCAUGCUGGAGGAACUUUAACUUAAGGGAUUUUAACAUUUGUCUUAAAUAGAAGUGAAUGAGAAUGAUAAUAUAAACACUGAGAGUAAACAAGGGGAUUCCAUUUUUGUUUCUUAGACUCAGCAAUUAAGUAUUGAAAUUUGGGGAGUCAGGAGUGACUUCAUUUGGACCAAUAAGCAUAUUGAGGAGGGAGAGGUUAGUAAGAGCUUCAUAAUCUAAUGGCCUGAUGUACUAAAGGUUUGCAUGUGUAAAUACAUGUGCAAACUUGUUGGAUGCACAAACCGGAUACUAACAGUGCGAUUUAUCAAACCCCGUAACUGAUUCCGGUCGGUGUUUUUGCAUCUUCAUUUAGCACAUUUGAAAGGCACGUGCAAAAUGGCAAAGCAUUACGCACAUAUGGCUUUGGUCAUUGUGGGGAGAAGGAGGCAAAAGUGCGAUGAUAGACGACGGAGGGAGAGAAUCUUCUGUGUGUGUGUCAGCAUAUUUGGACAGUCAGAAAUAAAAAUAGUAGAGUAACAGUAACCUGGGGAUUCCACAGGAUCUGGAACGGCUCCGCUCCGGACCGGCAUGCAGAUCAAAUAUGCAAGUAUACAGCGCCCACCCAAUCCAAUCCGCUGCAGCAAAUGAAGAAGAAGCGCUCAUGGUAUUACCGUUAUUUCUUGCAAGACUGGAUGAAAUCUCAUGAGAUCUCACAUGUUUUACUUGUGAGACAUUGAAUGAGAUCCGCUGAUCGGUGUAUAUAAACAGUGGUAUAUACAAACACAUCCUACAACCCUGGCCUCUCCUAAUAUUAAGUGAAGAACAGUUCAACAUCUUGACUUUCCAAUCCAACCGUCGGAGCUGAUCAACAGUGUCGCCGGAUGGUGGACAGAUUGUGUGGAACCACGCACAUUGAUUAAAAUGCUUGCAUAUUUGAUCCGCCUAUCAUUCCGGAUCAGAGCGCAGCCGUUCCGAACCCUGUGGGUUUUAGCCAUAAUAAGAAUGCUGUUUUUGAGCUGCUGGGUGACCUAAGGGCUGAUUCGGAGCCGGUCGCAAAAAUGAUCCAUGCCAUAUCUACUAUUGAAAAACUCUUUGUAACACUGCUUUUUCCUGUGUUUGGAUCAUUCCAGUGCAGUUAGUGCCGGCAUCUUCCAGAGUAGGUUUUCUGGUGUGCUGCCCAAAGUGUUGAAUGCCAUGUGACACAGGAUGGAAGUAUAUCUAGUUCCCACGUACUGGGGACACAGUGAAUGAGACAAAACACAGCUUUUAUGCAGUUGCUAGUUUCUGAUAGGUUCAACUCUAUGUCUUUAAAUUUCAUUCUUCGUUUACGACCACCAGCUUUUUCCCUAACCUUUGCUUUUGCUACUGGUGACAGCCUGUAGCACACACAAAAUCCCCAUUUAAAUAGGGCUGUCUGCACCACUUUUGCAACCUUUAUCAAUUGCACAUGUAAACAUAGUAGAUCACCCACAACACAGCCACUAACAGCACAUGGGAUCUUAGUAGAUCAGGCCCUAAAAGUGCCAAGAGCAUCUCUGUAAAGGAAAGUCUCUGCUGUUUUUGCUUCCAAAUACGAAGGCUCUAGAAAACAGCAAGAAAUUUUGGUGGUUUCAGGACAUCAUCAUUGCUGUUUGUGCUUGCUGCUUCACCAAGGACCACUUCAUAAUCAAAGACCAGUAUCCAAGCUGGAUUUGAGUCUCAGAUGUUACUGAAAUCUGGAGCUCUUCAUCUAGAAAGAGCUCCAUGAAGCUCAGAACCAUAAGCUGGAGGCAACACUACAAUAGUACAUGACAGAACAAGCAGUGUAGAAAAAAAAUAAAAAUUAAAAAAUUCCAAGCUGUGUCUGUCCAUCAGUAGCCAUGUUUACAUGGGCAAAAUGUCUUGAUCCGAUUAAAAUUUUGAGAGAUCAGAUCAUUUUAAUCCACUGUUUAUAUUAGUACAAAAUCAAAUAACCUGAUCAUGAUGUGCGUAUACAUGCACCAAGCUUUAUUCAGGUUUGAAGCAUUUGGACAUGCGCAGAGUUGUUUGAUUUUGUUAAAACAACUGCAGAACAAGAAGAGUUGUAUUUACACCUGUGCUGUCAACAAACCAACAAACCAGUUGGCUCACUCCAUCCAGUUCAGGAGUUUUCCUCCUGUUAAAUGUUUUCAUUCGAUGGUGCCCUUGCAUACUUAUUUUACUGUUCUGUCAAAGGUUGCACUGUGCGUGCAGAUGUGACAUAAUUAUGCUGUAUGUACACCUUGUUAUGUUACCGAAGGAGCAGACACAGCACCUGUGGUUAUGUUUUAUAUCAGAGUGUUCGUGAUGAAACCUCCUGUACUGGCCUCAAUAAAUAAGCCAAAGGCUUAAGAGUGAAGACUGAGUCACAUCAGAGUCACAAUCGAAACAAGUGUUUACAUGGACACGUGGAAUAACGAUAAGCAUGAACCACCCCUCUCAAUCGGAAUACAAUUUCUUGCCGAUUGAGCCGAAUUGGAUCAGAAUCUUCUGAUUAACGUUUACAUGGCACAUUUAAUUCCGAUAGGGCCUUUAUUCCGAUUAUUUGUGCCCAUGUAAACGCAGCUGGUGUAAAAAGAGCCAAAACAAAGCAUGACAGAUGGAGGCUGAAAAGAGCUGAAAAUAAUUUGAGUGUUGCUGCACACACCUCGGCCACCUCUGCCUAUGUUGGAAGCCCCUAUUCAGCCACUCAAAAAUGUCUGGAUAUGCCCCUGAUUGUCUGGGUUUGAUACUACUGCACUUAAACAUCACAGGCAAGGUGAUUUGACUUCAGAAAUGUGUUAUUUGUACAGUUAAUCUUGCAGUUGCAGUCUUUUUGGUGCAGUAUUAGCCAAUAAUGGUGUGGAUUUUCAGAAUAUGAGCUAAAUCAAAUGACUCCUUUACCAAUUUUCUUUUGCAGGCACAAAAAACACUUCUUACAUAGAAAAACACAGUCUUUAUCCUGUGAAGAUUGACAUGACAAGGGUGAAUUUUUUAUCUAUGUAUAAAUAUUUGCAGAAUAGAUUUGGACUACUCCACAAAACUGCCUGUGCACUCCGUCUAAAUCUAAAUACUACAUGCUCUGCCCGUCAAAUAGAGAGUGUCUGAGAUGCAAUUAAAAUAUUACAUAAUGACUGAAAAUCCUGCAGUAUUAACAGAGUAUCAAGACUGAGCUGAGCAGUAACCUCCGGUAUUCCAAAUGAAGCCAAAGUGGAAGUGCAGUUCCUCAAGUGUCUACUUGAUGCUGGCUGAAAAAGCCAAACAAUCCCCAUUGGAGGCAAUAAUAAAUAAAAGCUCAGACAGUCAACUAAAGAGAAAUGUUAAAUUCAGUGACUGAAAAGUGCAACAUGCUCCCAAAUAUAAUGAUUAACCUUCAUUUAAAGCUUUAGUGGUCAUUUAAUCACUGCAAUUUGUAGUGCAGAUAAUCUCUCUGGUAUUUUGCCAUGUCUGUAGCUGGAAACGUGGGAUUGCAUGUGUACCAGCAUACCCACAGUCCCUUGUGUGAAACAUAAUCACAAGUAAAUUCUUCAGACUUGUUUCCGUUGCUCAAUGACAAGAUUUAACAAAUGUUAAGGCACAGCUGCACACAGAAGUGCUGCAGCUCUGUUUGGAAGUAUUUCUGCUGCAGCAGUGCCAGUAUCCAGGGAUUAAGUGAAGGAAAGCUAAAUGACUCUGGAGAUGGAACAUCUGUGUUUCUGAAGGGCAAUCCACCAGAUACCCAGCACUCCUGCAGGAGAGAUGAGGUCCAGUGCAAGCAAUUUUAAAGGUUAGCCAAUUUGCCUUAAACCAAAUGGAGCCCACAGUCUCACGCUGCACUGUGUAUUCAGCAAACACUGUGGUGAUUGGUUGUGCAAACAAAUUCCUCUGUGUAAAAUAGAAAAGCGCUCAGUAGGUACAAAGAAAAGAGAAAAUGCAUGCUAAUUAGCCUGUGUAGCACUGACAGAGAUUGAUGAUCAGCUAUAAAUUACUGUACAUUAAAGCUUUGAUGUGAAAGUCCCCAAAAUCCACACAAGUUGUAAAUGCAAACAAAAAGCUGGGUGAAAUAUACUUUUUUGUAAAGUUUCCAUUUACAUUUCAAGAGUUGGCUGAAAUGAGCGUGCAGAACAGCAUGAAAACAUCAGCUCAAUGAAGACGCCUUGAUCUCUCUGGGACAACAAGCCCCCAACAGGAGAAAAGAUGGAUUGGGGACUCAGAGGGUCACCACUGUUUGUGUGUUUGCUUUUGGUGUUUGCAGAGAAGGCCUCUCUUUUUUUGUGAUGCCAUCUGCGCUGUAGCAAGAAAGGCCUGCAUUGUCUGUACAUGCAUCCCCCCCUUGUGAAUGAUCACUGUGCUGAGGCGUUAAUGACAAUACCAUUUGAACUUCCCACACUGCUUUUUUCUUUUAUGGUUUAAAGUUCUGCUCCCUGCGCCAAGGAAAACAAGAGCGUAAUGGACAUUUUCUGGCUGAGCAAUUAUGUGAAACGAGACGGCCCUUGUGUUUUGUUUGUGAUGGUUUGUGGUGGAGUUAAAUGCUGGUCGACUUGAGGAAAGUGCAAAAGUUCAGUGCUUUGGAUGAAGGAUUGAGCUGGACUUGGUGUAUUGAUAGUUAGACAGUGAACAGCAAUGUGAGAAUGUCAGCGACUGGGUGGACAUUUCCCAUGCAGACCAACAGAGACCCAUCAUACUUGCAUUUGUGUGUUUGCAGUGACUCUGUUUGUUGUAAGAAACCUAAAGCCCUGCUCCAGUGCCUUUGAUGACAUUUUUAUGGUAUUUGAUUUGAUAUGUGAUGUAUUUCCUGACAUUGUUAAUUAGCCUCACAGUUUAGCAAAUGUUGACUGACAAAUAACCUUUAUUUCACAGCGUAGAAAUGCAGGACUUCUGCAGAAUCAGAUGGAUGAUGUUUGUCUGCAGAAGUCGCUUAAAGUCAUACAUUAUCACCCAAGCUUGCUGGGGUUUAUUGCUUUAUCUCAAUUUUACAAUUAUAUCAAAGUUCAUCUCCACUGAAGUGUUUCUGGAGACUUGACCUCAUUCAAAAUUCUGCAGAAACAAAACUGUUGUUACCAGGCUUUUUCAAAACUGCUAUCUCUAGGUGGGAUGUUCAUGCUUGUGACUCUUCGUCUGCAGUGUGUGACUCUUCGGUCUGAGGUGCAAAGGUGAGGCAAAGAUGUUACAGAAAGGUAAAGUGGAAAGAAGGUGAAACAAGAGCAGACAGUGCUUUAUCAGCACCAUGAUGAGAUGUGUAAAUACACCAGUAUUAUGUCAUUUCAGGAUGCAUUGUAUGAGUACUAAGGCUUACUGAUGGCACAACUCAGUUCAAGUGCUAUUGCAGAAUUGCAAUAUCCAAAAGUGAUUAAGAUACUGAUCACAUUUCAAUUAUAAGUUCAGUUGCCUAUGAUAAUGAUUGAUUUUAAAAGCAAACUAAAAAAAAAAAAAACAUGCCUUUUUAGUUUUGCUUUAAACUAAAUUUUAUAUCAUUAACUUUGUUUAAGUGUUUUAACAUUUAUCUAUUCUAGUUUGAAUGACAGGAUCACCUUUUAUUGAGCUAUUUUGGUGCUCUUUUUUUAGUAUCUUUUACUGUUGUAUUUAUUUCAUUUUAUUCAUUAUUUCUUAAAUUUCAUUUUAUGUUACUUGGUUUUAGAUUUUAAACUAACCUCCAGUGUUUCCUUAGCUUGAAUUUUUAAACAGUGUUUCCUCAGUGCACACAUUCCCGUUUAUACAAAAUCAAGCCCUUUUUAAGUUUAUGCAUUUUAAUACAUGUUUCUAUUGUGCUCUGAUUGCAGGGUGGGAAUGAGGGGUUUAGGUAGAUUAGGGUUUCUUUGUUUCUUUUAUUCAUCUGCUAUGUAAAGCACUUUGUGCUGCAUUGUUUCUGUAUGAAAAGUGCUAUACAAAUAAAGACUGAAGGAUUGAUUGAUUGAUUAAUAAAAUGACAACAAUAUGAUUUAGAGCAAACACUUUCUGAGCCACUAACGAUUGUACUCUUGUCUGUUUUAUGUGGCAAAUGGAGUGCACCCUUUCUUCAUUCACAGCAUUUACAUGCAGGUCAAAAAACAUGAUAAUCAGCGUCAGGAGCUCAGAUUGAUGUGCAUCAAAGCAAAGAGGUUCAGGUGUCUUCAAAUGUGCUGCAUGGGGACUGUUGUAUCUUUAACAUGUUUUCCUUAUAGCAGCUGUGAAAUCCUUUGUGUAGUUACAGGUGGCGAAAGCUUUGAAGCACUACAAAAGGAGCAGGAUGAGCAAGUGUGGGUUAGUAAAGCUGAGGGACAACGAGAGCACAUAAGGAGGCUGUGACAAAAACAUGCAUGAAUGAUCAGGCUUUACUGUGAGUGAUAUCAGGCAUUACAACACUGGAUUUGGAAUAAUUAUUUUGAUCUCAUGAAGGGAAAAUUUAAGUGGGUGUUGCUUUGUCUCACUCUAUGCAGCAGAGUGAGGUGGCUGCUUGCUUUUUGCAGCUACAUCUUCAGGGGGAAAUAUUGUGACACGAUUGAUAACCUUGCUGUGACUUGAAGGUAGAGUUUGUCAUCUUUCAGUGCACAUGGACACCACUGCAUUCACAUGAAGUGUCCAUGGGCACAAUCCUGAACCCUAAAUAGCUCCCAGUGGCAGUAAUGUGUGAAUGCAUGUAAACAGGAUUAAUUCGCAUGGAUAGCCUCUGCCUUCUGUGUGUGGAUAAGUGUGAAAAGAUGAAUAAACUUUACAUGUAAAAGCACUUUGAUUUGCCAGAAGACUGAACAAAGCUCCAUAUAUUUACCAGCAGUCUCUUAGCAUUUUAUACAGGUAUAUUGGUCUCAGUGGUGUGUUGGAUGCAGCCAACUUUUGUCCUUAAGUGUGUCUUAUACACUAACUCUCACAGAAAAUUAAAUGCUUCCCUCAUUUAUUGGACAGUAGGUCACAGGACUUACUAUGAUUCCCUUGAGACAGGGGAUAAUCUAUAUGAAAUUUUCUGGCAGAUGAACAAUCAGCAGAGACUGUCAGAUCAAGUAAUGGAUCAUUAUUCUCACAGAGAUUGAUUUCCAGUCCAGGAUGUCAGCCAAUCCUCUGAGAAUGAGCGCCAACCGGCCCUGAUGUCAUUUAUUCUGCAGCCCGGAGUGUCACACAGCACUGAAAACAUUCGAUAGAAACUAUCACGGAGAGGGGAGACAGAAAAGAAAGAAAACUUUGUGUUGCUCUGAGGUCAAGCACGUCUCACCAAUAGCUGACAUCUCAGCAUGUAAACUUUUCCACACUCUAUCUGCAGCUGCACGCUCUCUGCCUGCCUGCAAACCCCAGCGCUCAGAAUCUGCUUGCUCUGCAACCAGCCCUUCGCACAAUAACUGUCAUUCCCAGUGCUUAAUCACAUCAAUUUGUGUUGCCUUGGCUGUAUAGUUGUUGUUGUUGUUGUUGUUGUUUUGCUGUUUCUGAGCAUGCCCAGAGGAGGCAUUCUCCUGAGCAGCUUCGAUGAGGGGUCUGUCUUUAUCUGCAGGGUUGAUGCAGGCAGCUCAUUAGCCGCCUUUCUCCUCUUCCCUAAACAGCUUGGUUUGCAUAUUGAAGCAAAUGGAAAGUGAAGGUGUUCGAGGCAGGAGCGGGAUGAUGGGAAUCCCACUUACCUCCUGAUUGGCAUUUUUCUGCCAGGGCCUGUCCGUCAAUGGGGAGAAUAACAAGUUUCCCCCAAAAAACACUUUUCUGUCAGCAGCGUUUAGGCCCAGGACUCCACUAAAACAUUGUCUGCUGCUGCUCUGCUGUGGUUAUAAUCACUGUGAGGAUCUCUGAACUACAUUUAUACACAACUUUCUCUCACCUUUGCAGGGAAAGAGAUAUUGGUGCAACAGAAGUGUGAGACAAAAUGAAAUUCAGUCAUUUGAGGUCCAAAAAAACAGUCAGGAAUAAAGAGACUAUUGGGAAAUUAAAACUCUGAGGUUACUAGUGUUUAGCCCUUGUUCAUGUAGAUGUUCUUUGGUUGGCUCACAAUAUGAUUGGAUAAACAUUUACAUUAUGGUGGUUCACAAUGUCGGCUGUGCAUCACCUGAGCACCUGAUAAGUCACUUAACUAGCAGUUAUUGUCAAUUGUUCUUUGUAUUCAAAGUUGACGGUUCACUCAAAAAGACGCAUCAGAUGAUGGCUGCUCUCAUGAGGCCGAUUAACAUACUAACAUACGCAGUAUUAAGGGGUGUUCAGACCAAAUGCGACCUGGUCGCGUUGGUUGGUCACAUCGCGUCGCGUCGCGUGGCGUGGCGCCCUGGUGUGUUCACAACGGGUCCAAAGCUGUGGUCGCAGGACGCGGCUGGUCGCCGCUGACCCGCUUCUCCCACCUUCCUUCUCCCUCCUUUUCUCCCUCAUAUAUACAUCCUGCAGCCGCUUCCAGCGCUUGCGACACACACACACACACACACACACACACACACACACACACACACACACACACACGUUGAAACAUGUAGCCUAGCAAGCAGGGGAAGUUUGCUAUGUUUUCAGAAAAUAGUCUGCUCACUGAAAUAAAUAAACAAAUGACCAGAAACCCCGAAAUCAUCCCGGUAAAACGUGCACCCAACGUCGUACAGGACCGGGUGAUAACUCAUGGCAGUGAUAAACUGCUCCUCUAUUGGUGAUUCUUCUUCUCCUCCUCCUUGCUUCGUCGGUUUGUUGACAUCAGCAGAGCCCUGAUUGGCUGUCGCGGCACGGAGUCGUGGAUAGUCGCUCCCAAAGUUCAAAUAUUUGAACUUUGGGAGCGACGCGACUUGACGUCCUGCGACCUCAGCGACGCGACCUCAGCGACGCGACCUCGCGUCAGGUCACGUCGCAGGCAGCCGGCGGUCGCCAAGUCGCGUCAGGUCGCGGCUGUCCAUAGACUUUGCAUUGGGAGCCGUUGCCGGCGUUGCCGUUGCCGACGUUGCCGACGUCGCGUUUGGUCUGAACACCCCUUUAUGGUGUUAUUGAAAAAAUGUUCAUGUGUGCUUAAAGCUCAUGUAAGGAACCAUAGAUUGAAUAUAGUAUAGGCAAUACAACUCUGCCUUCUGUCAUUGGCUGAGGACGUCCAUUCUUUCUACAGUCUACAUAAGGAACCUUAUAUACCUUUUUAUAACUGCAUUUUUGCACUCUUUGUCUGUGAUGCUGCUGUGGCCAAAAAAAUUCCCCCAUGGGGGAUCAAUAAAGGAAUAUUCUAUUCUAUAUUCUUCUAUUCUAAAUAUACCUUUAAACAGUAUCAUGUUACCUACCUUACAACAGUUACUGACUAAUGUUUAACUCAAAGUUUGUUAUUACAUGCAGAAAAUUCCCGUCUAUUGACAAAAAGACAAUGUUCUAAAACGUUAAGUGUAACUCAAUGUGGCUUCCUGUUUCAUGAAUUAAUCUAAAUCCAUGCAAAACAUGUUAACAGGUUUGAUAACUAUGAAUAUCAUAUAUUAAAGUGCAUUUUGUGGUUGUGUUUAUCAACCACAAACAAAGAAAAAUCAACAGGAACAUUGAUGUCUGAAAUUCAAUACAGAUAUGUAAACAAGGGAUCCACUGAGUUCCGUUGACUAAUCCUGCUGGAUGAGACUUUGAUGAGCUUAAUGAGUUGGCUUUUCUCUGGAAAACAUUUUAAGAAAAUGUUGCAUUCAAGUGCCAAAAACUUCAAUCACUGUCAUCUUUUAAUGUCAGAUAAAUUCUCAGGUCAUAAGUGCUGAAUGGACUGUUCACAGUGAAACAGUGGGGGGGUGGGGUAGAUGCCUCUACCAGGUUACUGCUGCCUGCCCUGGAAGUAAAAAUAGAUUGACCCCAUGAUUUUACCCCUACUUUUAAAACUGGAUAACCCAUGACCCCAUGAUAAGCAUGGGUUCCUAGUUUAAUCAUGUUUCCCUCCAUGAUUUGCCAUGCCUGUGUCUUAUGACCUUCUUAAGGCAGCAAACAAAUGAUGUCUUUCUGUACUUGCAGCUCUUACUUCAACAUGAACAAGAAACCUUGUUGUCCUAACUCAGCUGAACUCUGCAUUUCAUAAGGUCCAAGCAUUCUCCAUGUUCAGGAGCCAAGCCUUAACUGGAGCAUUUCAGGGAUGAUCCAAAGAGACUAAUUCUCCUGUUAUAUAAACUCAGAAGAUUCAAUUCAGACUGAACGUGAAAACAGGGGCUACAUCCAUGUAAAUCAAUCAAUCAAUCAAAUUUUAUUCAUAUAGCGCCAAUUCACAACAGUCGUCAUCCCAAGACGCUUUUCAAAGAACAAGAGCAGAUCUAGACCACGCUCAUUGUUUGAUGAUCAAGAACCAACCUAAGAUGGGUUUUGGCCCAUUUCAUCUAACAUGAGUAGCAGUGGCAAGGAAAAACUUCCUUUUAACAGGCAGAAACCUUGAGCAGGACCAGACUCAUGCCAGACAGCCACCAUGCCACUGCUGGGUUGGGGAGGAAUGUAGAGAGACAAAGGGAGAGAGAGAGAGAAGAGGGGAGAGGGCAGGGGGAGAGAAAGAACAAGAUAAGGGGAAGGAGAGAGAGAAUGAGUAAGGGAGGGGGAGGGAGAGAGAGAGAGAGCAGAGAACGAGGGUGAGAGACACACAGGGGACAGCAGCAACAACAGCAACAACAACAACAGCUCAUGUAAUGGUGAAACAAAAUGAAUUCAGUUUACACGGUUAGGAUAUGAGUAAUUAUGGACAAUGUUAAAUUAAUUAAAUGUGAUUACAGUCAGCAGGCCUAAUAGUAGUCAACUCUAGUGUUAUGUUUAUAAUGUCAGUGAGGCUGAUGUUCAUGUCUGCAGUAACAGUCCAGAGGAACCCAAAGAGCUCAGGGCCUGAGGCGGAAAAUCAUAGACGAUGUGGCUGGAGUCUGGCAGGUCUGCAGCAGCCAUCAGUCCAGAGCAACCUAGGAGACUGGGGCUCAGAGACAUACAGAGAGAUCUGGCGAGCAAUUUGUGUCUGAGCUGGUGACAUAUUGAGUUAAACAGAUACAGCAGAGUUAAUACUUUUGCUCCGUUUUCUAGACCAAACUACUAACAAACUUUCAGAAGUGUCCUGUCUCAUCUGUUUUCUGUAUCAGUGGAUCAUUAUUGCAUUAACCUGAGCCAACUAGAGGCUGGUGGCUGUUCUGCACCUUGGACACAAAAUCUGAGUGAUAGGCAGCCUCUGAUUUUAGAGCUGUUAAAUAAAAUGCUCAUUUUUAUAGCUUGAGUUUACCCCAUUUACAUAAACAGGCUUUAUACAGUCUGUGGCUACGAACAUUUACAGGUGUGCUGAGUAUUUGUGCAGAUAAAAAGGGAACUCUGCUCAUGGUCACAAUAUCAACAUACAAAUUCACUCUGCCCUUCAGUUGAUGAACUGAACAUGAAUAAAUGUCAUCUCUACUUAGUUCCAAAAAAACAAUAUCUUUUUAAAAAUGAGGGCUUGAUUCCCUGAGAUUGGAUUGCAGCACCAAAUUGCAACAAGGAUCUCAAGGUCUUAUUCACUAAACAGUUAGUGCUUAUGAUAUUCAAUAUUCAAUGCAUUGUGAGUAUUUUUUUUAUUUAUUUAUUUAUUUUUUUUGUCAUGGAGAUGAGCUGCGAGCAUCUCCACUCUCUGCUGCACUACACUCUGAAGUGAGCUCUCAUCCUGACAGCAUUACAUGCUUUCCAGAUAUUUCUCAUUUUGAUUUAAGAAAACCCUCCAAUGUGCAUGGGGGCAAAGCCUGUAUGUGCUAAAGGUUAAGCCACAGACAGCUAGACUGAUUUAACCACUGAGUGACCAAACGCCCUGUCCUGGCAGUCCUGGGUGUUGUUUAAAUAGUGGUGAAAACGUCCUGGUUUUCAUUGUUUUUCAUUGGGCCACUAGAUCAAGCCACUGAGAUGAAGAAGAAAACUGAGGAUAUAAAUAUUUUUUGUUAGUAAGUUUUUGUAAGUUUGUGAGAGCUAUUUUUGUUCAAGUUGGAUUGCCAAGAUAGCAGAGGUAUUUUUUUAGUUUUUUGUUUUGUUACUCAUUUUUUAAAACAGAGGAGACAUUUAAUCUAUCAUUAUCAGAUCAAUAUCAUCUAUCAGAUAGUAUUUGGGUGACGUAGUGCAGUGUUACUUUUUUUCUUUUUGUUUUGUAAUGGGGUGUAUUUGAGGCAUGUUUCUAUCCAAAUGAAUGCACGAUGGCUCGGAUAUCCAUGCAAACAAAGACACUGUUUGCAGACAACAGUAGUUUGGACAGUCUUUUUGGCUCGUGUUUGAAAGGUGUGGGAGCUGUGUAAUUUUUCUUGUUUCUCUCUCACUAGCUUUUGUAUAAAAUCCAGUUACAAAGUGCAGCAUGUAAAUACUGUUGAUCAAGAAACUGCUGUAACUUUUAAAUGUUUUUGCACAUGUUUUAAGGAUUUUGCAUCUCUUUUCUUCAAUCAACGAUAUUAAACUUUAACAUUGAAUUAUAAAACUGCCAAAACAGUCUGCUCAAUGUGAAGUCAGAUAGGAAGUUGCAUUUAAAUCCAAAAGCACACUUUUCCUAAAUUCCAGGGCUUUGGAACAGCUCGCUGACAAUCUCAUGAAGUGAUGGGGACGGCGGGGGUGCAAAUGUUGAGUAGCAGUAAAUUAGCAUGAGACUCCAUCAGAGGCAGAGAGGGAGCCUGGUGUGGCUUUUCUGUCAGAGAGGAAAUGAGCUGAAGGGAUCUCCCAGGCCACAGCCGGCUCUUUGCUCUGUGGAAACAUAAAAAAAUGGGAUUCCAGGCCUGGAAAAACUCAUAACUCCAGGAUGGCUGUGAAUGUAUGGAUCCUUCAGAGCCUGCAGACUUCUCCAAAGUAAACAAGGUCACUGUGGCUGCUUUGUGUGAUUUUAUGGGGUGGGGGUCAAUGAGCGACAUCCUGUGUAAAUUUACCUCCAUCAUGAAACAGAUUUUUUCUUUCCACAUUAAACAUGAGAAGUGUUGAUUCGACUUGAUGAAAGUUGUUUCUGCCUGUCUGAGAAUGAAUCCACUCCAUCACCAGGUUUUGAUUUAGGUCAAUAUUUCAAUCAUAAAAUGGGGCUUUAAACUCUGGUCAAAAGCUUCCCCGCCUCUCAGCAGCUCAGGAGGGUAUAAGCAUAUAUUUGUAUUAUUUUGCAGCUAAUGCUUAUUCAACCCCUCAUGCUUUCAUCAUAAAUAACAGAGUAUCUUUUUUUUGUCACGGGAAGUUUAACAGUACUGUAUCAUGUUAUUAUCAUAUGUUAUAUCAAACUGUAUUUUAAGGGAGUGAAGACUCUAGUUGAGAUUAAAAGAGCAUAUAUCUGCAGAAAGAGAACCUUAUCAGUACCUUAAACAGAAGGCAUGAAAAUAGUGGGUUAAACCUUUGGACUGACUCCUCUUGCUGUUUUGGUUUUUCAGAUUAAAGUACAUCCUAUUGCAUUAAGUCUCUGUAAUAAAUCAAUAAGAUAUUUCAAUGAUAGUUACAGCCCUGUAAUUGGAAAAAAAAUAAUGACUUGUUUUCAUUAGGGUUCUCAGUCUUAACACAUUAUUUAUGCAGUCAAGUCCAUAGUUAACCUUUUUUUUUUCUUUUAAAUCAUGUUCCCUUUUUUGUCCCUGUUGACACACCAUAGGUAAGUUGACAAUGAAAACCAGUGCACUUUUGCACACAAUGUUUUAUUUUACAAAUCUCUCUUACAGUUCAGUUUAGGUAAAAGAUGAUCAAGAUAUCACUGAAUUACUUUGAGUUUACAAGCUAAGCAUACAAGUGCUGAUUGAUGUCAGCGAACAACUACAAUACAAAAGCUGACUGAGGGAUACUUGAGAGUGCCAAUCAUCUCAGACCCUGAGAUAAAACUCAUUAAAAGAACAUUUCACUCAGGCAAAACUGGCUGCAGAAAACAUUUCACAAUUUCACACAAACAGGACCUGUGUAAAACAGAGAAGGCAACCAAACUGAAACCCCUGUGAUGUGCAAAUGCUGUUGCGUUAACCAGGAAGCCCCUGGACGUCAGUGAGUUAUUAAAUUCAGAUCAGAGUUCCUGCACAAUAGAGUGACUCUGGUUUGCCAUUCUGUACAUGCAUUUACUGCUGCAUAUUUCUUUAAGUAUGGUAAAGAUAUCCUGAAACUGUCUAUUUUCUCUACAUAGGGAUCAUACUGAUGCAGCAAUGCAGCUUUUAUUUGAAUAAUAAAUCUAAAAGUUUAGGUCAUUAAGAACUUUUUAUCAAGUUUAUCUGAUUACUAAAUCAAGACAGUAGCAGAGUGUGCUUUUCAUUGUUGAUAUGGACUUAAAGCUGUUGGUUGAUCUCUUCCGGUGGAAGGAAAGAGAGUUUCAAAGAAAGCUUCACAGUAUUUUUCCUCUUGAUGGUGGUUUUUGUAAACUGUGCUUGACUAUAAUUUCUCUCUGCUGUUUUCAACCCCAAGCCCACUUAGUGCACGCAGUUAGCCAAUGAAAUUUACUGCACUUGAAUGAAAAUCACAUUGUUUACUGCAGUUUACAAUUGCUUUGAACUAGGAAAAUUCUAACCAAAAUAAAUUUUACAAUUAUUUUCUCUUUUUUUUAAUUUCAAGUUGAUGCCUGCGCUGCAAAAACUCAGCGCUUCAAAUCAAAUUCAAAUCAGAUCCUUACUCCCUGAAACUCCAGUAACACAAAAAGGUUCAGCCAGAUUAACUUUCAGUCCUCGAGACAAAGCAUGAAAAAAUGAGGCCAGAGCAGAAAAUAGGAUCUAACAUUGCACCACUCAUUGCUCUACUCCACGUGCUAUUUAUUAUCUUAUUUGAAAAAAAAAAAUCAGGUGUGCCAGGUAAGAACUCUCAUAGUAACAAAAAGAACACCUUAGGUUACACACUAUAAUUGUGAUUUGUGGAUAAUACAACAAACAUAGUUGACAAUAGCCUCCAAAUAUCACCCUGCCUGUGUCCUUUUACUCUAUGAAACCACCUCUCUAUUUUUGCAUGAAUUUCAGUUUAUUUCAGGUGCAGUGAGACUUAAAAAGCAACCUAACUGAGAGGAAAAUAAAAACACUUUUGAAGUUUAUCAUGCAAAAGGCUUGUCAAAGAUGUGUUUCAGCAGGACCCCAGGCAACACCAGAAACAUCUUUUAAUCUGCACAGGGGACGUGUAAACAGUCAUUAAGACGCUGGGAACGCUAUUCAUGCUUUUCAGCUGCCUGAUAGAUGCGGGACGCCUUGCCAAUGUCUACACAAGCGAGCGCUGCGAUGCAAAGACGACACUUUCAGGAAGAAAAAAAAUUGGGAGAUUGUGAGAAGAACUUUGUGCGCACCUUUGCAAUUGACACGCAUACACACAACACAACACACACAUCUAUUCAUGGCUGUGUGCAAAGUGAAGGGAUCCACUCAGGCUGACGAUAAUGUAGUUUUUCUUCUCCGGGGUUUCUAUGGCAGAUGUGCUAGCACUGUAAAAGCGGAGGGGAUGCAUUGGGGGCUUGUUAAUUAGCAGAGUGUUUUGAAAGGCCUCGCGUCCCGCCUUGGCUGGCAGGUUGGCAGCACCUGAUUAGUGGGGAAUAGCGAAGUGCUAAGAUGACGCUCUAGUUCCCCAAAAUAAAGAGAGAAAAAACUCCCUCUUCCUCUCUCACACACACACUGGAGGCCCAUAUGCUGGCCUCAUUUUUUCCUCGUCUUCACCUGACAAAUCACAUUCAUGCUGUAAAAAGCACUGAGAGGGAAUACAUGUGUCUCAAGCAUCUCUUUGAACUGAGAAUAUUACAAAGAUCAUCAAAUGUACAACAUUGUUUUUCUAACGUAAAGCAUUCUCCAUGAAAAAAAAAAGUAAAGUUUACACAUUUUUCAUGUUUUUCACAGUUUCCUGGGAUGACAUUUAUUUUUACAGUGAUGCACAGGUUAUACUUGUGUGCACCUUGGAAAUAGACGUAUGCAUAAGAGCAGACAGUCAAACUGGCAGGUUGUGUUCAUAGAAGUGUGUGAAACCUUCAAUCCCAGCGUUUGAAUGACAGCAUUUCAACUAAGACUAAAAUUAUAGCUCUGUGAAGGUGCCCAUUAACGUCUGUGUGGAUCCAAGCAGGGUUUGGAUGCUACAGCUAAUCAUAAGUUACUGCAGCUUAUGGGCAGCUCUGACUGUCAAACUGAAUGACUGGUUGAUCCAGUUCCUUGUUGGUAGGCAGCAUCAAAACAGAAAAUAAAAACUAUGAUCGAGUUUGGAUGACUAUGAAACAUCUCCAACAGAAUGAAAUGUUAAAGUUGGGCGGUUCCUGUGAUGGUUGAUGGUAAAGUGGGUGGUGGAGUGGUAGUGGGCUCCUCAUGCAGACUACAUAAGGUCCCUCAGGAGUCUAUGAAUUCAGGAUAUUUAUGUUUGCAGGCUGUGUUGUUAUUCACUCAUUGCCCUCAGUGUCAGGACCACCAUGGUAAGUCCUUUCCCAUGAGGAAUCCCACCAAUCAGGACCUCAGCUGUGAAAUCUUAUUUCAUUAUUGGAGGUCAAACACGAACAAACUAACCUGAAGCUUUUGUUUAUUUUGUUACGGCCUUGACUCAAGGGUUUGAUGUGCAAACCUGAAGUCAGUUCAGUAAGGAGAGACUCCUUUAUCGUGGGUGCAAAUAACUUUUUUUAAUAUUACAAUAUUCAGUGAAGAAUAUCAACUGUAAAAUGACUAUGUCAAACAGACUCCAUCAAGAGGAACGAUUGUUUAACAAGAAGCCGUGGCAAAUUCUGGUUGGUGAAUAGUUUGAAGAGUAAACGCUCAUGAUCAGAUCAGUAGCAGGCUUGGGUAUCAAGAGCCGGUUUCAAAUCAAAGCUUGAUUUGUUAAGACUCGUGACUUGCUUUCAAGUUCCUUUAGAAGUUCCCUUUUUAUGAUAAAUCUAUCAGGACCAAACUUCAGUGAGUUCUUGUAAAAUGUCAUAUGAGGACAUAGUUUUUAAAGUCUUCUUCUGGGGGCUCUGGAGAAACCUGUCAACUCUACUCUGUCUAACCUUUGACCUUUCUGUUUAGCUGAGAAGAAAAUAAGGAGAGAAAAAGAAGGUAAAGAAAUAUAUCAGGCUCAUGUAGGUAGCUGUGACACAAAGAGUUCCUUAGUCAGAUUCGGCACAGGAGAAAUAAUCUUCAAGAAAGACCACCCGGUCACCUCACAGCCAGCCAGAUGGGGACACCACAUCCAGGGUGGCACAGGUUACCAGGACCUCCCCUCUGCUGGUCCUGAGUCCAGCUAAUGGACAUCUGUCACAGUCCCAGGACAGCAGACCCAAGCUGUGUCAGAGCCGUGAUGAAAUAUGUAUGAAACAAGGAUGUUUAGCAGCAGCAGGAACUAGUAUUAAUCAAUGAUUCGAUCCACCGGCGCCUGACGCAGAAUACAUUUAUUAUACAUUAUCUUUUCAUGCAGUCAAUUUUAUGCAUUCUGAUUCCACCUCCAGCCGUACUGCAUUGAAAUGAGGCAAAGCUGAAAUUGUGUUUAAAAUUUAAAGUGGUCCCAUUGCCCCGAGCUACGAGCCCUCUCACUGUCAUGCACACGAGAUUGUUGGAAAGUGAGACGUUUUCUUCUCUCGCAGCAGCUCUCCCUCUGAGCUUCAACAAUUGCAUAGACAGUCCUUUCUCAAACAACAGCAAACAUGUUUGUGCCACAGAAAUAAUGUCAAUUAAGCUCUUCUAAUUAUGCUGGCAAAAUAAAAAGGUGUCCUGCGUGGUGAGCCAGAGCUAAGUGACCUGAACAGGAGUUAGCAGCAGCAGCAGCAGCCAAGGGCAAAGCCGGCUAAUGUAAACCAAAUCCUGUACCUGGGGAGCACAGUCUAUUCAGGCUAAUCCGCUAGCCUGGAGGCUGCUGCUUUAAUAGGGGCACUGUGGACCCAGUCAUUGUCCUCCACACUCAAGGAGCCCAAUGCAACAUGUUAGCCCAACUGAGCUGCAAAAAGCCCCUUCACCCACUCCUGCCUGCAUAUUCAUCUGAAGAGGAGGAGGAGAAGAAGAAGAAGAAGAAGAAGGAGGAGGAGGAGGAGGAGGAGGAGGAGGAGGAAGGAAGUGAGAUUUGUGUUUUUGUGCAUGUCUGAUUGUGUUAUUUGAAUGUGCCAAAAGUUGUUCAUAUGCUAUUUUUAAGACAGAAAUGUGUGGCAACACAAAAAGAAAACAAAGUGCAUUUCACACACAAGCUUGAAAAACAGCCUGAGAUGCUUUGACUCCAGAUCAGCGCAGACAAUAACGCAAAAACGGAAAUAUAAAUAGAGCGGAGGUCGUAAGGAUCUGGUUGAUUGUAGUGGCUGUAUUAUCAAACACACCUUUUUCCACAGGCCUGUCAUUUGGCACCAGGCACCGAAGGAGCAAUAGCAGCUGUCAGCAGCAGUUCUUUACAUAUCUAUCCUCCCAAUACAUCUCAUUGGAUUCAAUUCAUUUUACCUGAGGCAGUUUUGUCAGUCCUUCUCUCAGUCUUGCAUUAUGUGUGUGCGGGUUUAAGCUUUGUGCACAAACCUACUGUGUGUUUGUAAGUUUUUAUGAGUCCUUGGUGUGUUUGUGCACGUGCGCAUCCAUGCAUGUGUUAGUGCACAAAAGCAAACCGUAUUUACACACGUUUACCCCAGCUGCCAUGGGAGCCUGGAGUAAGCCAGGAGGGCGGCUGGGGUUACCCAGCAGGGGAGGGAGCCUGUCAAGGGCUGCCUCGGUAAACCUGCUGAUUAUUUGUACCAUUAAUUCACACCUUCCUGACCUCGCUGCUCAAUCUAUACUGCAGAGCUGGUCUCAGAAGGCCAGGCUCAUGCAUUCUAAUCCAGGGCCGACACACGCCGUAGCUCUGAUGCCUUUGUGUUUUUUCUCUCUUUUUUCCCCUCUUUGCCAGGUUUAACAAGCAGUUCUUACACUUAUUUUUCAGCAGGGAACCCUCCAAAAUAGUUGCUCUGUUUCAACAUAAAUGAGACAAUUUUGUUCAAAAAAAAGUCUUGGUUCACCUCAGCAGUGCAGUGGGUCAUUUGCAAUUUGUCACAAUGACCACAAUCAUCUAUCUUAAAUAAAAAUAUGGUUAUAAAGCAUUUGGUAAUACUGUGUAAGUAACAUACAUCAUAUAGUAUGGAUGCAGCUUUAGUGACCUAACGCAUUUGUAUUUGAAGCAUUUUUUAAAGCUACGCUGGACUUUUGGUUUAACUGAAGCUAAGAGGUGGAGUUUAGGCUGCCCUGUAGUCACCUUGGCAACAGCUACAGUAGGCCUACCUGUCAGCCAAAUCAGCUGUGCACCUUUAUAGGCAAAAAACCCCUAACCUACAUAUCUUCCAAACUGUUGAUGAUGGAGGAAUGAGAUAUUCAGGUCAAAAUUGGAACAGGCUGUAAACCGGAUUUAUUUCACUGUGAAGAAUGGCUUUUUUAAAUAGGUGUGUAGGUGGCUUCCGGGGCUUUUGAAUCCCACAUCUUGUGGACACUUGAGGUGCUGCAUUUUUUGCACUUUAGCAUCAGCUAUAUUUUUUAAAUUUGGAGGUCUCUGCUAGGGAAUUUAUCGGUUCUAUAGACUGUAUAUAUAAUGGACAGCGUACAUUCUAUAUACAUAGAAUGAUAUUCUAUCAUGUAAAAUUUGACUGAACUUGUAGUUUCAUUAUCAAAGGGAGCCAUUCAUUUCUCUGAUAUUCUGGUAAGCUUUGCAGUACUUCCAGGUAGGGCUGUCAUAAUAUUUUCACCUCACAAUUAUCAUGGCCCUAUAACAUCACAUUAACCCAUUUAAACCGGGACAGCAUGUGUGCAUUUCAACCUUCCAAGCCAAGAGCGCGGCUGUGCAUUUCUACUCCGAGUGCAUGUAGGUAUUUGAACUCUUCAAGCCAGGAGAAGCGUAUACGCCUCGACCUUCAAGCUGGGAACGCGGAUACGUCAUUUUGUAAUAUUCUGUAGUUUUUCAAUCAUUUCUGGAGUUGUGGCGAAUCAAAUCAUCAUACCUGUCUGCCUCUGAUAGGCUAAUAAAGCUUAAGCGAUUGGAAUUAUGCUUGGAUCUUGCUACGUGCUUCAUGAGUUAAGUAAACAAUGAUGCAGGCAGAGAGCAGCUUCGGAGAAUAAACAUCCCGCAGUGUGAACAACCUCUUCAUAUUGAGUGCUUUACCUCACACUAUUGGCGUUUUCCGUGAGUGUUGCAUGUCUUUGCCUGAGCACAGAAAUGCACACUCAGCCACUUAGUUAUUUAUUUAUUCAUUUUUAGUUUUUAGUGCUUCUUUUGUACUGGCACUAUACUAAGGCAGCUGCUUACCCUUUCAACACUUUAUUUUUUAUAUUUACAUUUGUAUUGAAUGGACACUUUAUCAUGACUGCCACUUGUUUUACAGAAAGCAAGUUAUUUGUUAUUCUCCAGUGCAGAGCCUUUACUUUUAUUUAUACAGCCGCUUUAUUUCAUUUGAGUUUGUUUGUUCAAGGUUUUCAAUAAUGUGAUGAAGGUCUGGAAAAAUAUAAGAUAGUUUUCUUAAAAGCCACAUGUGUUAGCUCUCAAAUAUUUUUUUAAUUUUGUUUCUAUCUGCUACAGAGGCUGAGAUAUCAGCUUUUAAACCUCAGCACUUCAGAAAACCUCAGGAUCUGGGGGUCCUUCUCAAAAUAGCCCUCAGGACUUCAGAGGCAUGUCUCAGACAGGGUUCAGGUCUUAAUGGGUUAAUAAUAGUGACUAAUUGAGAUAUCAAUGAAAAAUGUGAAAGUAGAACAUCACACUAAGUUUUUUAAGUGAGAAAAGUAAGAUAAGGAAGAAAUAAUAAAGUCAUUUUUGGAUUCACAGUGACUCUUUGAAAAUGCUUGACUCUUGGUGGGAUGCUACAGCUAGUUUGUGAGCAGCUGCUGCUUCUUCAUCUUUCAUUUUUUUUAUGAUGUUAACCAGUGUGAAGGUCUAGUUGAACCCACUGUAUAGCAGCAUGUUAAUUGGCUGCAAGACAUUUCCUUUUCUUUUUUUUUAAAGACAAGAAUUAUAGGUACUGGUACAUCCAACAGUUCCACAACCAUUCCACUUUUUGUAUCUGAAACACUCCCCCAUCUUCACUUAUUUGAGGCUCUGUAUUUUGGGAUCUUAUCAAUAACAUCCAAUAAUGCUUAUUGCUACAGUGAACCAAAGCUGUCAGUUUCCCUAUGAUUUUAUAUUUUCAUUUGGGAGUUUAUUGCAGAGGCAUGUGAAGGACACUUCUUCAGACUGCUUAGAGGAGUAAAAGUAAUCACUCUAAAUGUAAAUUAAGAUUUGCUAAAUGUAAGCGAUGUUUUACUUGGUGUUUUUUUUUUUUUUUUUAGGUAAAAACUCCCCAGGAUCUGCGCGUCUCGUCUGCAAAUAUGACUGGAAUGUAGAGGUCAGAUUCAUAAUUAACCUCUUACACUUUUUAAGGGAAGGGACCAGAGAGCUGAUGUCGACUGCCGGUGUGUUUUCAUGCAGGCAGGCUGUUUUUCUUAUUACUUUAUUUCCUACUUGGGAAAACUGAUUAAAAUUACAUCCCAAUUCCUCACACCACCACUUUUUUCAUCAGUACCUUCUCUCCUUUUUGGGCACUCUAUUAGUGAGCAGCGACUCCUGCCCUAACGUUUUGCUUCUGUUGUUACCUCUCAUCAGCAUCACAGCCAUGUCACCCUUUGAUGGCUCAGUUUUGGUGGUGGUGGUGGUGGUGGUGAUGGGGGGGGGGGGGGGGGCGUCAAGCUGGGCUCAGAGGUUAAUUGUUAGUAUUUUGGUUUGUUACUCCACGUGUAGUUUCCAUCCACUUUGAUUCCCCCUUCACCUUCUCAAUGGCAUGGAAAGACCUGUGUUCAGUGCUCAUUAAUAGUCUAAAUCGGAGGGAGGCCAAUGCUGAUUCUGAUGCUUAUUCCACUCCGUGCUGCAGCUCUGUGCCCUGCCGAGGUGAAUGGUGGGCUGGCGGUCUGGUGGGCAAGGCUGGGGGAGUCUCAGUGGGUGAUGAAAUGCAUUGUGGGGGCUUAAUUGAAGGUAGAGCUGUCAUGUUCCACGCAGACAGCCACAUGUAAUUAUUCCAGUCUGCCAGGCUUCAGUUUGCCUGUCAGCUACCUGCCUGGGCUGCCUACUGCAGCUGCUAGAGGCUGUGCUGAGACAGAAAGCAAGGAGAGGGAGAUAAGGGGAUGGAUAGAGGAGGAGACGGAGAGAAAAGUGUGUCAGUGUGUGUGUGCAUGCAUGUGUGCUGGGUCUAGCUGGGGAGUUUCACUGGAGGGGUGCACAAAAAGCAGUGAUCUCCCAAUUUGCUUCUGCUGCUCGUCCUCUAUCUUUAACUCACUUUCUACAGACUUUCCUCUUGUGCUCGCACCCUCCAGUCAAUCUUCUCUCCUCUGUUUCUGUCUUCCUCCUUCAGGAAGACACACAGAGGAAGAGAAGGAAAAAAUACAGAGAGACAGGCAUAGAGGAGGAAGACGAGCGACAGUAAAAGUAGGCCCUCCACAGAUAGCCCAGGCCGCUAAACAUAGCCCGCUUGGUUCAACAUCGACUUCAAUUUGGGGAACCUCAGAGUAUUUUGUUCCUCCAUGUGGCAAUUAGGAUGUCAAAUCAAACUUGCUAAGGCAAACAGCAGAGCAAGCCUCUUCGCUGCUAUUUCCAGACUCCACAUCUCUGUCUCAAGCACACACACACACACACACACACACACACACACACACACACACACACACACACACACCAGCCUUUUUCCUGCCACACAUACACAGCCAUCCAGAUCUCCUUAAGGAUUCCACUCACCGUGCAGAAAGAGCAGCGUCUUUCCCCCUAACAUGGACACUGCAGCACACACACACACACACACACACACACACACACACACACACACACACACACACACACACACACACACACAGUGUUAUGGAAAUGAUCACAUCCCAGAACAAUGCAGAGUUCCUGACCCAGCGGUCCAAAGAGCCAUAAAUCUGGGUGGUUCAACGGAGCCCCAACCUCUGACCCCUCCAACACCAGGCCUGUCCUUACUGUCAGUCAGAGCUUUAUCUCCCUCUGACCCCUUAACAUUACCCAGACAACAACAGGCCAGAGACAGAGCCCUGAUCCCCAAUCACAUGCCUUUUUAUUCCCAGCAUUUCACACCAUGACACCAGUGUGUCCUCUCUUCUCAAGGAUGAAUCGCUUCCAUUCCACUUUUGUCUUAGUCUGUGUGAGUUUGUCAGAAAUAUUUUGCAGGAGCAAAUAAGGAUACAUGCAGGAAUUGGUUUUGCUUGAUCUUAUCUUUUAAUCGAUCGAUCUUCACCAAGAAGUGGUAACAACAACAGUUCCUCAAGUACUCACGUUCAGUUUGUUUUAGAAGCCAAGAUAACCAACUGUGGCCGUGUUCGAAUAUCUGUUUUCACAGCUUAAUUAAACAUGUUUACAACCUGGGGCCUAUUCUACGAAGCAAGUUCAACCUAGCGACGUAGCCUUGGAGCUACCUCGCUCAACUUAGCACGGUAGCCAGCGGUCUCGCUAAACGGUCUUACGACGCUGGUUAUCAACCAGUCUCAAUGCGUAAGUGUAGUGCACAAAAAAUCUUUGAUGCCAUCAUCACCCUGAAAUAGCACUGUUCAACAUGCACUUUUAACAUGCACCAGACAUGUCUGAUUCAUUUCCAAGAUGAAUUAAUUCAUUUGUUCAUUCCAAUCGUGUUUACAUUUUUUGUGUGAUAUGUAGGCCAUAUGAGCCUUUCAUAAAGGUGGUCAUCCAGAAAAGUAAGUGGGUCUGUGCGGUCCCUGAAAACUCUUGUGCGCCGGAGUGCUCCUCGGACAAUGCAAGCACUGAGGUCUAUAGGAUCAUCCAAGAAUGGACAAGCCAUUUUUCGAGAGAGCUCACUGGUCAGUGGGAGGGGUUUUUAUACUCAGUGAGUUCAAUCUGGAACCGAACCUGUCCCGGAGCAGGAUAGCCGUUCAGUGUACGAAGCCAUGGAGACUCGCCUCGCUAAGUAGUGAACUUGCGUCGUGGAACAGGAAACCCCAAACCUACCCUCUAAAUUACCUUGCUAAGCAGUAAUCCUGCUUUGUAGAAUAGGCCCCAGGUUUAUAAAAAUGGUUUUGUAUUGACAGCUUAUUACCGCAUCUGUAACAGUUGUAGCUAUUCUUUUAACAACAUGUCUAUUUUAAUAAGGUUUAGGUCUAGUGUUUUGCAAAAGUUUGCAUCACAGGUGGACAUGUUGCUGUUGACAGGAGGCUGAAUACCCAGACUAAAUACACAUAGGGUAAUCAAAUACAGGUGUGAGACUAAGACACCAAUCAAACUAGAGGGAAAACACAGGAAGCUCAUGUAGAUGUGAUAUUUUCAGUGAAAACUCAUAAAAUAGAACAGGAAAUACUUAGUCAAGAGGAAUAACAGAAUAACUGUGGGAAACAAAUACCAGAAUAAGUCUUUACAAGAGGUAAGACAGGCAUGCAACCACAAAAUAAUCCAAGACAGUCUGACUGCAGACCUCCACUGUCAGAACCCACCUCCACUGAGCAGACCGAAAGGUGAUUUGUAGCCUUCCAAAAUAAAAGCAAAUACACUGAAAGUACUUUUUUAUACAAAAUUUGUUUAAAUCAAUAAAUCUCUGUUUAAACAUCUUAAUAUGUGUGAUGGCAUAAUGUAUCUACACUCCAACUGCUGACUGUUCUUUGCUUUUAUACCAUUUAUCUUGCACUUUUGGACUUGUUUACACAUCUCUCAACUAUCUCUGCAGCAAAAACAAACUGUAGUCCGUGAGAAAAAACGUCACCUCAGGUCCUCUCAGUGGAGCGGGUCCUCACAGUGGAGGUCUGCAAUUAAGGAUCCUGACAGUGGAGGUCUGCAGCCAGACCCCUCUCAAAUAAUCAGAGGAGGACAACCAAAUUACACAAGGAUAACGCACACACACACAAAAAAAAAAAAAAACAGAGCUGUCCUGUACUGAAGAGGACCAACACUAUGUAAUCAUUUUAAAAAACAUAAAAGUAGCAUGAUUUUGACUUAACAAGGGAUACGGGUUAUUAAAAAGUGGUACUGCAGGCAACAGUUGCACUGCCAGGCAUCCUCUUGUGCUUUAAGUGAUACACGUUGACGGACAUAGUGAAUUUCCAGAUGUGCUUCAAAGUGUCUGGUGGAUCUGCACCGUUAUGCUGCAGUUAGUAGAUCUUUAUUCGCUCAUGAUUACAUAAAGUUUUAAUUCAGUGGGUUGCCUAAUUCAUGAAACACUCUUCUGAGAGCUUGCUUGAUGAUUCUGAGAAAGCGAUGGAGUUCCCCAAGACUCACUUCUUGAGCCACAGUAUUUAGUUUUUUUAAUUUAAAUACUGGUUGUUUGAGUGUUAAUCCAAGUAGACUAAUGUGAGUAUCUCAGCCAACUGACCUACAUGUCAAUCUUGAUGCUCUGGGGACUUGCAUGUAGAAUGAUUUUGUCAGGAAACUCAUUGGAUACAACCUGACAGCUGCUAAAUUUCCUUUGGUAAAAGCUUUUAUAUAAGAUAUCCUGGGUGAGAGUUCCUGUUUUUUUUUUGUCAUUGCUUAUCCUCGACCUGACAUUUUAAAAUAAAAAAAAAUAAAAAUAGUCCAACAUCAGUGUCAGAAUCCGUAACUGAGUAUUUAUAUGGAGAUAUGAGUGUCCACAGAUACAGAAUCAACAAACAGCUGUUGUUUCUGCUGAGGUGCUUUUCCAUUGAUGCUCUUCAAACAGACUGUUGUUCUAGUAACCAAAGUUUGUUGAGACAUGAUAGGUUACCCCUAUGUGGACUACAAAAUGAGAACAGAAGAGACUAAAAACCACAAAGCACCUGACACUAAAACUCUUUCCUUAUUGCUACACCCCACCCAAAGGCAGCCCUGUGGGGCUAACAACCAUCCUCACCUUUCGACCCAUUGAGUUAACAAAACACCUUCAAAAGUUUAACAAGUGAUUUAUUGUGACAAGACAACAAAAUUAUGAACUAAACACCAAGAACCCACAACACAAAUGAGAGGCAGCAGGGCAGCAGUUCCCCACCAAAUGCCUCUGCAGACUGCAGGCAGCUCUUGGUCUUUAAAGUCUCAGCACCAGGUGAGCCUGAUUGGCACUCAGUGACUUCACCUGGGAAGCUAUGAGAAGACAAAAGGGGAAAAACACACACACACACAAAACACACAGCAUUAACACUUAUCCUGAGGAUUUUUCACUCCUUUCCAGUUAUAAUCUUUUAGAGAUUUACCCAGUGAUCCCUUGAGUAUGUUCAAAGAAUUGAUUAUGAUGCACAUUAGGUCUAAUCUUUUAAAAAGAUUUAUAAGUUCAUGUUUUUGCUCAAUCAGUUGCAGAAAUCUAGCUUAUUAGUUAGUUUUAAACCAUGACGCUGAUGUCAAACCAUGCAUUGUGCAAAUUCUGGCACUGAUUCCCUCGCUCACCCUUUUAAUUAAUCAAAUUUAAUCCGAUUCUCUGACAUCUUCUGUCUUGUGUACACCUCCCUAAAUUCCAUGAUAUUUCAGAAAUGCCAGUGACCGCUGGGAAAACUACACACAAGGUAAAUAUUCAAGCUCUAGAGAUACUGUUGCUUCAGCUUCAGGAUAAGGCUAACACCCCUCUGGUUCACAUGGGUUUUCAAAAGCACAACCACAUGAAGGCAGCGUCUCAUUAUUCAUCUAACUGCUUUCUUUUCUUGUCUCUUCCCUUUUACCAUCAAACUCUAUAAAUCAUAAUUGCUCUGAUCUCAUUCAAAUGUGUUUAAUGACAGACCAGUGGAGGUAAAUGACAGCUUAAGAAACACUUUGUGAAUCAGUAACCUAAACCUCAGUCUGUUUGCAGUCACCCACAUGUUGCAGAGUGUCUAUGAUCAUAUGAAUAUGUUGGUCCAGAGCCAGCACAGGGCAGCAUUCACUAAGUGAGAUAAAAGAGCUUUUUCCAAGAAGCCCUCUAAGUGGAACGUGGACCCUGCUGUUUGUCUGUGGAGGAGGCCAUCCGCGCACAGCAGACACUCAGGAAUUUGAGGCUGAGUGGGGCAGGGCCAAUGGGGGGACUCGGGACUCACUCUGGGUCACUGAUUCUGAGGUCACCCCCCAUCCCAUCCCAUCCCUCCCUUUUGUGUCCCCAUUCAACCUACAAUAUGCCAUGAGCAACAAUAUUCCUCUACAUGGAAAACGGAUCCACCCAGAGUCGUCUAAUCUGGUGCUGAGCAGAGAAAUCUGAUUAUAGCACCACCAGAGAGGGGAGUUUAUAUUGUUUGUUUCAAAUGCAAAUCUGAGUUUGAAACUAUGGUGUGGUGUUAAGAGCCAUUUGAAUGGAUGUAACAUUCAUUAAGUUUAAAUGAUGGCUUCAUAUUUGUGUCUUUUGGGGUUUUACUGACUCACUUUUUGAAUGGAGGUUGCAGCUUGUAAGGAUCAUUCCUCUAUAGUACUGUGUGGAGCUGCACAGGGACAGCAUAGCAGCAUUGCAUUAAAGGAGAAUCUUAACUUAAUUUCCAUUAAUGUAGAGGAAUCCUGAUAUUGCACAAGUUUAAGUGUGAAAAUAGUAGAUUUACACACUACAGUGUGGUUGGUUAUUACAAUUAGUUUGAAGACAGAAAAUGUUUUGAACUUUUGUAGAGUAAAUCAAGUGUGAAACCAUCAGGGGCAAAAAGAAUGAGGAAAAUGUGGCAUUUAGUCCAAAGACUAAGACUUCAUCUAAAAUAGACUAUUUAGGCUAUUUUAGAUGAAGUGACAGUUUGGGACCUGAUUCUCCUUGCAUCAAAAGUCAGAUUACUGGAUGUUCCUAAAAGUUAACGGGCCAGAUUAUCCUUUGGUUUAAGGUGUGUUAAGAGUGAUUUUUCUUAUCCAUCAGAUGAUCAGAGCCUCCUUGACUUUAAAUCAUGAAUAUUAAAAAUGUUGAAUAUUUAUGAUCAGAAAUCCAUCUGUAUGGAAGGAGCCUCGAGGAUGGCUGAGUAAGCAUGCAAGAUGGACUAAUGAAGGAAGCACAACAAAUGCUGCCUUGGCAACCAUAGUAAAUACAACACAUAAGCUUAGAUAUGGUGAACUAAACAGUUCAAAGUUACAGGAGGAUCUGAGAGGUAUGGAGAGGAGCAGGGAUUCAAACAGACUGAAUGUGUUUGUUCAUACCUAUUUAGGAAUAUAAAACCAUAAAUUAUUUAUUCAUUUGGUGGUUUAGUGUUGGAAUAACAUUACAACCAUUGAGCAAGAGGUGACAACAAUGACAAAAAGGACAAAUAAAAGAAAUCUCAAAGCAGUCACAACGGAAACUCAAAGUGUGGCAAAAAAAAAAUGUUCCGGGUUUGGAAUCUAAGAUGUAAGAUAUUUUACAUUUUCUUUAUCCUCUUUGUGUUCUCAUGAUCACAAAGUCACAGUAAAGAGAGAAUGAGAGAUAUUAGAUCAAGCAGAGUGUACCAUGUCAUUAGGUGAGUAUGGGGAUAACUUUGUAGGGGCUCCAAAGUGAAGAAAAACAUUUUUAUCCAUGAGAGAAAUGUAUGUCUGUAUCUGGGGUUAGGUCUGAGCAUGUUCACUCUUAUAGACGAGUAUCAAACUGAACUUCCUAUCAUCCCCUUUCUGACAGUUUCACCUUUUCUUCAAAGAAUAGAAAGUGCCUGCCUCCAGGGUGUAAUGAUGCACACCUGUAAUAUCUAUAAAGGAGUUGAUGGCACACCUGCGCACCAGGGUUUUAUUGUGCAGCAUCAUUCAGCAUGCACCAUUGUCCAACAACAAAACAGAGUGUGUGCCAAGUUUAAUUUUGAUCUUGUGUUAAAGUGUUAAAGUAUUUAAGACAUGAUUGAUUUUGUUUUGAAAACAGACACCUUCAUACUCCUCUAAUUUAGGUGAGGUUCAGUGAAGAGUUGGUGCUUCUGUCUGCUCCCUUCUCUCGUUGUUUUCUUUUCUUUGCACUAUAGUUUAGUCUGCAGAUUACGGGGCGGUUGCUGUUGCAGGACUCGAGCUGCCUCUGUGCAGCCUCCACCCAGCGUGAUGACAAGCUGCAGAGGAACCUUCACACAGCUGGAGGCUCAGGGGCCCUGGUCUUCAGAGGCGUGCUCCCAGCUCCUCGACACAAACCACACUGAUGUACAGUUUUGUCUCCUUACUCACUCCUUCCUUCUCCUCCCUCUUCCACUCCUUAUCUGCCUUUUCCCCUCCCCUCUCACUCUGCCUGUUUUUUCCUCUCCGCUUCGACCGCCCUCUUUCUAAGCAUCUGUAGCAGUUCAUUUGAAGUCUGUUGUCACUGUGGGUGAUUCAUGGAAUAGAAAAAAAAUUCUGAGUGAUGGACCUUUUUCAAAUGAUAAUGAAAUCUAAUAAUGUCUAAAAUCUACUCUAUCUGGUCAUAUUUCUGUUCUAUCUGAAAUAUUCAAGUUCUUGGGAUAUCACAUCAGUCACUUUGUUUGUCCAGUCUGAAAAAUCUCAACAUUUCUGAAUACACUGCUCUUAACUUGAACUAAGACAUUCCUCAGUUUAAUAUUCCAAGCAAAGGAAAGCAAAGCAAAAGUUGAGUUUUGUCUGGUGCGACUUUUGCAGAUUUCUUUUCCAUCUAUCUGCUCUCUGAAAAGGUUUCAAGUUUCAGUUUUUCCAAACACAGAUCAUGACAUGAUGCUCUAGUCAGGUUCUGAUUCUCUGUUAAUCAGGUCAGCUUGAAGUGCUGAAGAUGAGUGUCUACAGUAGAACAAAAGUCACUUCUUCAGUCUGAAUGGGCUGCAAAUCUGGGCCAGCCACCACUGAGACCCACCAUGGCCUUUGGGCUCACUUAAGGAGAGUCUGUAAAAACCAUGACUGAUUUACAUCUCUGCUGCCCGGGCUUCUGCAGUGCAGUGCCCCCCCCCCCGUUCCUCUGUGGGUGCUUCAGAGAGCCGCAGAGGGGAAGGUUUGUUAGGGCGCAGGAACCACAGAGGGGGGAGCACAGAGAGGCCAAGAGAGAAUAAGAGUGCAGAAAAAGAAAGAGGAGGGAGAGGAGAGAAAGAGGGGGGUGUAUGAGGAGGGGAGGUCAUGAGGGCAGUGCAGGGCGCUCCCAAUCAGCGCUGUGUAAACAGGCCUCCUCCUGGAGUGGACAGGUUGCAGGGGGGAGUCCUCCACGGGCCACUGAGGCUGUCAGCAGAGCAGAUAACUGAUGGCAGGAAUGUGGCAUUUGUUCUUAAAAAGAGGGAGAGGAGGAGGAGGGAGAAAGGGAGGCAGAGAGGGGAAAGGGGGGAGUUCAACUAGUGGCAGAGAGCGGGGCUGCCAAUUAACAUCUACUUGAUGCAUUUGUACAGCCGGGCCUCUGGCUCCUUAAGCCCUGCAGCUGCAUCUCUGCUGGCAGGCAGCUCCCUGCCUCCCCAGCCCUGCGCUCCCUCACAGAUCCCCAUUACUACACAACGGCUUCAGCCUGAGACCCCGGCUAUACAGUGCUUACAUUGUCAGACAGUUCCGUCAUUACUCUGUAGACUGCUGCUGCCCAUGUGCUCAGCUCUGGAAGUCUCCAGAAACUGUUGUGAAAUCAUAGAAAACACACAUAGAUUGAGUCGCACAUGCUUGUUAAACAUCCACAAAAGUUAAGGUGAAAAUGAAAGUUGGAACCCUGAAAACAAGGCAAAUGUUUUGGCUUUGGAGAAUAUUUACAAGACUGUGUGGACUCAGCUGAUCACAGUUUGAUAAUCGGAUGAUGAGCUUUAACAUUAUUCAUUGAAAUCUUUUGAGUGCUGCUGCAAAAUAAAAUGCACACCAUAAAACAUGCACAUUUAUCUGAUGUGCUGUUUUUUUGUUCUUAAAGCAAUGAAUGCAAUGCUAAAAUUUAUCAUCAAAAACUCAUAACAGUCUCUUUAGCAAUGACCAUAAAAUCAAAACUGUAUUUUGCAUCUGAAUAAAAUCUCAUCCUUAAUGCAUUGAGUGUAAGAUGUUUGUUAAUUAUGUGCUGUGCACAUGUUUCUCAAGUUUAAAAGGGUGAAAAAACCUGUGUUGCAAAUUGUUACUCAGAGGGUUUUUAUUAUUAUUAUUAUUAUUAUUAUUAUUAUUAUUAUUAUUAUUAUUAUUAUUAUUAUUAUUAUUAUUAUGUUAUACAGAGUUUUCUUUUCUUUUUUUUUUUAUUUUUAGCUUCUACCUGUUCCUGUCAGAUCUGUUUUGCAGCAUUGAUAUCAGCAGUCAUCCUGUCUUUCUAACAACUACCUCCCCAUCCAUCUCUGUCCUCUCCAUUUCCAUGAAGAUUGUGGUUAGGAAGACUGACAUCAAUUUGGGAGUUAAGCUGCACCAAUGGGAUUAAUGUGAUCCACAAGUUGAGUCCUGUCCACAGCCUCUGUGUGUGUCCUGUCUGCCUGCAGACAGGCAUUGAUCUCCCUCUGAUCCCAAAACAGUUAUUAGCCUGUCCUCCCAUCAGGAGCAUAUAGAGUCAGGAUCUGAGUUGCCUGACCUCACGUCUGCAUUCAAAGGAGAGGCAGAGUUCUCCUUCCAUGCCCUCAAUCUGCAAAUGGAGUCAUGAUCCCCGGCUCUGACCCUUCCUCUGCCACCACCCGUCGUGGUGGCCUUUGAGACCAAGUGAGGUGUAAACAAAUCCAAUAUACGCUGCAUUGUGUGGCACCCCGAGGGUCCCAAUGAAGUUACUGCAGAGGUACAAAUCACUGCAGGUCACGCUUUGCUAGCUCUUUCGUGCUCUAUUUCCCUACAGUCCUCCACGCAGAGAAUGCUGUCCAGCAGGCAGCGCUGCCAUCAUACACCUUUAUUUAUAUUUAGACGUCUCAGAUUGAUUGAAUGGCCCCUUUUUUUGGCACAGGCCUGUUUAGUGUUCAAACCAGAGACCACCAUGCAGAAACGGAGAGAACCUCAAGUCCUGCUCCUUAAAUCACUAAAUCAUCCAACUCUGGGUUUCCCACCUACUGAAGGAGUUAGUGUGUUUGCUUUUCUCAACAUUACCAGCAGAAGUUAUGACACUCAGGCUGUGUGUCUACUCAUAUUGAAUCCUCUUUUCAAUCAGAAUUUUUCAGAAUUUUCAAUCAAACUUUAAAUAUAAAUAUUUAAUCUGUAUAUCUUUCAAAAAAAAACUUUUAAUGCUGUCACAUAAAAAGUUAAGAUAAUUUUGUUUCUGUGUGACUUGGCUGAAACUUCAAGUGAUCUGUGUUUUUCACACUGGUUUAACAUAUCCAGUUAAUAUUCCUUCUUUAUCCACCCUUGCUGGAUGAACCUCUCUACUGCUCCCAGACCGUCCAGUUUAAAGACCGGUCAGGAUUAGGAUCAGGAUUUCUCUGAAUGAUGACGUUAUAUUUCAGUUGUUACCCCCUAACUGUCUUCAAUCUGGCUUACCAAAGGGAAUGAUGAGAUUUUUUUUAAAUUGAAUGGACGAAAGGGUAAUAAAUGAUGAUGUAGAUGAAUAGAUUUAAAAGAAUGAUGGUUUAGUGAGUCUGUCUAAAAACAACAAGUCGGUUUGAUCAGUACUUUCUGGUAUAUCUUGGAAAAAAUGAGAAAAAUCCUAAUGCAGCUUGACUUAAGCAUCAUUACAUAAUGUUAUGCAGUUUUAUGCAGGUCAGUUUUAAGACCUGGAUGCACCAUUAAUCUGUUCAGUGCAAAUGAGCUGUUAAUGGACUUGUUUAUUUUGUGCGCAAGUUGUGAGGAACUUUCUGUCUGACAAUAAAAGACUUAAAUUUCUCACAAAUAUUACAGCAUAGCUGUCAAUUUUCCCAUUUUGGCCAGAAACUAUCGUAUUUUACCCCUCUUUCCCAUCGUCCUCCCAUAUUAAUAUUCUCCUGUAUUGGUGUGGGGGGAUCUAUGCCUUGCUAGACAAUGUUGUGACUGUAUGACUUAAAGAGAUUUAUACAGGUUAUUAUUACCUGAUUUCAGACCUUUCAGCGAGUCUAUGGCUGUGUUUCAUUUCAGAGACCGCAUCGGGAUAAGCGCACUUAAGCACGACCGUCGAACAGCGCAUUUGAAGCAUGCGUGAGGUCAUCACGUGGCACAAACGGUGUCCUGUCUCGCACAAAAUACAAAGCGCGCUUCAAAUUCGGUCUCAAAACCACACUGCCCCCGCCCCUUUUUCGAGCGUGCAUUUAUGCACGCUUUCGUGCCGUUGGUAUCCCAGAAUUCUUUGCGUGCCACUGCACAGCUGCGCAUUUCAGGUGAGAGGCUGGACUCACUUGGAGACACAGCGCGUCUUUAAAGAAAAUGCAAGAAAUCCAAAAACAGCAGACAGUCAGCUCAGGCUGUAUGAGCGCAUGAUCUCUGAACUCACUAAAAUCUGUAAAUCAAACAUUAUAGAUUUAGAGACAACUGAUCCGCUCUGCUACACCAAUCGAAAACUUUAGAAAUAAGAAAGCUGACAAAACUACAGCAGAGUAUUAGGACAACAUUGAGGUUUUUUUUUAAUCCAAUGAUUGUUUUGUAUAAAGGAGUAUGAGGGCCAUAUUGAGAAAUUUUUUUUAAAGACUUCGAGAUUGAAGUUGUGAAUUUACGCGAAUAAAGUCAUUAAUUUAUGAGAAUAAAUUCUCUGUUAUUUCAGAGGAGACUUGUUAAAAUUAGGGCCAUGAAGCAUUUGAAGGAACUGUGCUUCUGUAUAGGUUUCACAAACAAGGAGAUACUUCAUCCUUUGGCACAUCAGCAUUACAUUGUCGUAAGUAUAAAGACUUAAAAAAGAAUAUAUGAGAAAUACGUCUUUUCCACAGGGAAAAAAAAACAGGUGGACCUCGAGGAAAUCGCUGCUUUUGUGGAGGCAGAAAUGAAUAUGCUGAAGAUAUUCAUUUAUGCAGCCGUAAAUAUCCGUGAAUGACAUUGAGCUUUAGUUUAUGAUAUGAAUCCAUAUGCCAUAAUAAGGUGUUGGUGUCUCUGCAGGUGUAGGCUACCGCCGGUGUCAGAGACGUGGUGCUCGUCGGAGCUCGACUCCCUCUGGAUCACAAAUGUUGAUCAUCAUCAGUUUGAUUGUUUUUUCAGAAACCACAAAAACUCUCUGAAUGACCCGCUGGUACAUCCACAGAUAACCCUGCAGAUGACCAACUUCAGUCAUUUCCCCCUCCACAAAAGCAGCUUUAUGACUUUAUUUACUUUAUGACUUUAUUCUCCUAAAUUUACAACUUUAAUCUCUAAAUCUUAAAAGAAAAAAAAACUCAAUGUUGUCCUGAUACUCUGCUGUAGUUUUGUCAGCUUUCUUAUUCCUAAUGUUUUUUAAUGGUUGUAGCAGAGCGGAUCAGUUGUCUCUAAAUCUAUAAUGUUUGAUUUGCAGAUUUUAGUGAGUUCAGAGAUCAUGCACUCAUAUAGCCUGAGCUGACUGUCUGCUGUUUUUGGAUUUCUUGUAUUUUCUUUGAAGACGCGCUGCGUCUCCAAGCGAGUCCAGCCUCUCACCCGAAAUGCGCAGCUGUGCAGCGGCACGCAAAGAAUUCUGGGAUACCAACGGCAUGAAAGCUAAAAAUGCUAAGUGCGCUUAGCAUUUCUUAGCAUUUCGUGCCAAAUGGGACACCGUUGGUGCCGCGUGAUGACAUCAUGCACGCUUCAAAUGCGUUCUCUGAAAUGGGACACAGCCUAUGUUUUCUUAAGCGCUGCAGCAUCUUGAAGUAUUUUAAAGAAACUGUCUGUGAUCUUUUCAGCAUUGUCUUGUUCACCUCUGCAGGUCAGUCUGUUUCUUCACCAGCAGAAAAGUCUCCUUAAAGAAGCUCUGAUAAAGACGUUUUUAUUUUAUUUAUUUUUUUUUUUUUUGUUUUCUUUCAUUUUUGUGAUAAGCUCUGGUCUUGUUUAUCCACCUGAAAAAUUUGGUGGAAAUUCUCCAGAUUCCCGGAAGUUUCUCCUUGUUGCUUUACAUUUUUUGGAAUGUACAGCUGAGCUGGUUGUUUUGUAAAUAAGGGUGUGAAAACAGAGCUGCAGGUCAGCAGGCCAUAGGACAACUAUCCAUUUCCUCGUGAACAGCUUCUCUUGACCUGGCAGCCAGUUGUCAGGUCACAGCGGGUUCAGCCUUAGGGCGGGGCUCGCUGCUCGUCUGCAUGUAAGCUCCAGUGUUCGAGACCGGUGGAGGAAUUUAGCACGGAGCAGCGUACUGUGAAAAAAAAAGACGCCUGGCUCGGACUGCACAGUGGUGAUAUAGCUGGUGUUAUCUGCUGGUUUCUUACUCGGGUUUUAGCAGGUUAACCUCCUUCUAAUGUUAAAUGUGAGGCCUCUGACUGCAUUAAACAUUAAAGCUAUUGACAGUGAGUCCAGCGUGUAUGGAAGCAUCAAAAAAUGGUUUCAAUAUCACUGGAAACCAACAAAAGCUGCAGCAAAAAAACUCAGGAGUGUUGGAGAAGUCUUCACUGUGAAUGCAGACAAACAGUUCAGUGAAGCAGCAGCACUUUUAAUUGUGUGUGAGAGGAAAAAAAGGCAGAAAAACGUGCAUCUGCCUGCGUGUGAACACGUUAAUAAGAGAUUUUGUGAUGGUCCAGCGAAUCAAUUCAUAAAAUAUGAUGUAGUGUAGCUGGAAGACGGCGGUUGCUCCAGAUGCAUAUCUCUGAGGUUUCCUGUCAGGCUAAUUGAAUGUGACAUGUCUGUGAGGCUGGUGACGACCAACUAAUGUGAGCAGCAAUGCAGUCGGACUCGUCAGCAUGGGCCAUGCUGUUCAGUCAAGUUACAGCGCGUAGAAAACCUGUUUUAACUGCAGCUGUAUGGUUCACUAACAUAUAGCAAACAUAUUUGUUCUUUCUUCUCACUUAUGUUACAUAAAUAUUUGUCCAAGCUAAUUUAAAGGUGCUGUGAGGAGUUUUAAAUGACUGAGAACCUGGAGCCUCAGCAACAGGACCAAUCAUUUCUCUGUUCAAUCUACAAAACCCAAUUCCACUGAAGUUGGGAAGAUGUGUAAAUCGUAAAUAAAAAUGGAAUACAAUGAUUUGCAAAUCCUUUUCAACCCAUAUUCAAUUGAAUUCACUACAAAGACAACAUAUUUAAUGUUCAAACUGAUUAACUUUAUUGUUUUUUUGCAAAUAAUCAUUAACUUUGGAAUUUGAUGGCAGCAACACUUGACAAAGAAGUUGGGAAAGGUGGCAAAAAAUACAGAGAAAUUUGAGGAAUGCUAAUCAAACACCUAUUUGGAACAUCCCACAGGUGAACAGGCUAAUUGGGAACAGGUGGGUGCCAUGAUUGAGUAUAAAAGCAGCUUCCGCAAAAAUUCUCAGUCAUUCACAAGCAAGGAUGGGGCAAGGUUCACCACUUUGUAAACAACUGCGUGAGCAAAUAGUCAAACAAUUUAAGAACAACGUUUCUUUAAGUACAAUUGUAAGGAAUUUAGGGAUUUCACCAUCUACGGUCCAUAAUAUCAUCAUAAGGUUCAGAGAAUUUGGAGAAAUCACUGCACAUAAGCAGCACGGCCAGAAACCAACAUUGAAUGCCUUUGACCUUCGAUCCCUCAGGUGGCACUGUAUCAAAAACCAACAUCAGUGUGGAAAGGAUAUCACCACAUGGGCUCACGAACACUUCAGAAAACCACUGUUAGUAAAUACAGUUCAUCGAUACAUCUGUAAGUGCAAGUUAAAACUCUACCAUGCAAAGCAGAAGCCAUUUGUCAACAACAUCCAGAAAUGCCGCCAGCUUCUCUGGGCCCGAGCUCAUCUAAGAUAGACGGCUGCAAAGUGGAAAAGUGUUCUGUGGGCUGACGAGUCCACAUUUAGAAUAGUUUUUGGAAAUAGUGGACGUCAUGUCCUCUGGGCCAAAGAGGAAAAGAACCAUCCGGACUGUUAUCGAUGCAAAGUUCAAAAGCCAGCAUCUGUGAUGGUAUGGGGGUGCAUUAGUGCCCAAGGCAUGAGUAACUUAUUGUCGUUUUUUGGCACCUUAUUUGUCUUUCUUUUUUUCAGCAGUGUUGUGUCUUGCAUAUUCCAACCAUGGAUGUGCAUUUCAUGACUCUUGCUCUUUGUUUUCUUUUCCUUUUCGGAGUUUUUAAGUCCGCAACCGGCAACCCAUUCAGCGGCCCCAUUGUUUACAGCCGUGAACAGCUGUUGGCGCUGCGCCAAGCCCAGCCACCUUCGUGGGAGAGACUGGACAUCCCCGCUAUGCUCCGCAGGAGAAGAAAAGGAUGCAGGGCUGGAGUUCAGCAUCGGGCAAAGCGGAGACGUUAUAAAUCAACUGUCCCGUCCAUCAUCAUGGGAAACGUGAGGUCUCUCCCCAACAAGAUGGAAGAGCUCACAACGCUGACUAGGCUGCAAUGGGAGUAUCGUGAGUGCAGCCUCAUGAUGUUCACGGAGUCAUGGCUGAACGAACUGACUCCGGACCCGCUCGUAACUUUGGACAGAUUUCACCUCGUCAGAGCGGACCGGAGAGUGAGGGAGAGUGGUAAGAAGAAAGGAGCUGAGGAGGGUGCAGAAGGAGAUUAGAGAGGGAAAGGCCAGCUACAAGACCAAGAUGGAAAACCUUUUGCAACAGAACAACGCAAGGGAGAUCUGGAGAGGCCUAAAAUCCAUCUCAGGUCAUAGCAGGGGCCAUGAGAGGGGACCUGAAGCAGGAGACAGGGAGUUGGCCAACGAGCUGAAUCUGUUCUUCAAUAGAUUUGACUCUGCUCCCACUCCUCCCCCGACUCAUCAAACCAACGACCCAUCUGCUGCUUCUUCUUCACACCACCUCAGUCCCAUGGCACCGGCAUCAUCAACCCCCCUCCAUUCAUCCACCACCAACCCCUCCAGCACCACCCCCAGCCUCUCCAUAACAGCUGACCAGGUGAGAAGUGAGCUGAGGAAGAUGAAGCCAAGGAAAGCCACGGGUCCUGACGGCAUCAGCUCCAGACUCCUGAAGGACUGUGCAGACCAGCUCUGUGAGGUGCUACUGCACAUCUUCAGCUUGAGCCUGAGUCUGGAGAGGGUCCCAACACUGUGGAAGACUUCCUGCAUGAUUCCUGUCCCCAAGACAGCACACCCCAGGGAGCCCAACCACUUCAGACCUGUGGCCCUCACUUCUCACCUGAUGAAGUCUCUGGAGAGGAUCGUGCUGAGGAACCUCCGCCUCCUGGUGAGCUCUCAUCUGGAUCCUCUGCAGUUUGCGUACCAGCCGAACAUCGGGGUGGACGACGCAGUCAUCUACCUGCUGCAGAGGUCCAUGGCCCACUUGGAGAAUACCGGCAGCACUGUGAGGGUCAUGCUUUUUGAUUUCUCCAGUGCUUUCAACACCAUCCAGCCUUCACUGCUCAGGGGGAAGCUCGAGUGGGCGGAAGUGGACUGGCUUCAGAACUGUGUAUCGGACUUGGUGGUCUGCAGCACGGGGGCUCCACGGGGGACAGUGCUCUCCCCCUCCCCCAUCACUGACUUUGUCAACUGGUGUGGCACAAACCACCUCCAGCUCAACGCCAGUAAGACAAAGGAGAUGGUUGUGGAUUUCCGCAGGAGGAGGACACCAGACUGUUCCUGUGAACAUCCAGGGUCUGGACAUUGAGAUCGUGGAGUCCUACAGAUUCCUGGGUGUCCACCUCAACAACAAACUGGACUGGUCAACCAACACAGACAAGAAGGGCCAAAGUCGUCUCCACCUGCUGAGGAGACUGAGGUCUUUUGGAGUGUGCAGGACUCUGCUCAGGACUUUCUAUGACUCUGUGGUAGCAUCUGCACUUUUCUAUGCGGUGGUCUGCUGGGGGGCAGGGAGCACUGAGAGGGACAGGAAGAGACUGAACAGACUGGUCAGGAGGGCCAGUUCUGUCCUGGACUGUUCUUUGGACUCCCUGGAGGAGGUGGGUGAGAGGAGGAUGUUAACAAAGCUUGUAUCCAUCAUGGACAAUCCCUCUCACCCACUGCACCAGACUGUGGGGGCCUUAAGCAGCUCCAUCAGCAGCAGACUGAGAAUUCCACCUUGCAGGACGGAGCGCUACCGCAGGUCAUUCCUCCCCUCUACAAUAAGACUUUACAACGAACUGUAAUAAUAACUGGAUUUACACCACCACUUUUUUGCUGGCAUUUAAAUUGUGUAUAUUGUAGAUAGUUUUAUUUUUUUUUAUUUUAUUUUUUCUUCUCCCUUUUUCCUUUUUCUAAAUUUUUUCUUAAUUAUUACAUUUAUUUAAGUUCUUAAUAUUAGGAUCUUUAUUUUUAUAACUGCAUUUUUGCACUCUUUGUCUGUGAUGCUGCUGUGACAAAAGAAUUUCCCCCAUGGGGGGAUCAAUAAAGGAAUAUUCUAUUCUAUUCUAUUCUGUGAAGGCAACAUUAAUACUGCAAGGUACAUACAGGUUUUGGAACAACAUAUGCUGCCAUCCAAGCAAUGUCUUUUUCAUGGACGCCCUUCCUGCUUAUUUUAGCAAGACAAUGCCAAGCCACAUUCUGCAUGUGUUACAACAACGUGGCUUCGUAGUAAAAGAGUGCGGGUACUCAACUGGUCUGUCUGCAGUCCAGACCUGUCUCCCAUUGAAAAUGUGUGGCGCAUUAUGAAGCGUAAAAUACAACAAUGGAGACCCCGGACUGUUGAACAACUGAAACUGUACAUCAAGUAAGAAUGGGAAAGAAUUCCACCUUCAAAGCUUCAACAAUUAGUCUCCUCAGUUCCCAAAUGUUUAUUGAGUGUUGUUAAAAGGAAAAAUGAUGUAACACAGUAGUAAACAUGCCCCUGUCCCAACAACUUUGGCAAGUGUUGCAGCCAUGAAAUUCUGAGUUUAUUAUUAUUUAAAAAAAAAAAAAAAGUUUAUGAGUUUGAAUUUAAAUAUCUUGUCUUUGUAGUGUAUUCAAUUGAAUAUAGGUUGAAAAUGAUUUGCAAAUCAUUGUAUUCUGUUUUUAUUUACAUUUAUCACAAUUUCCCAACUUAAGUGGAAUUGGGUUUUGUAUAACAUUUGAGUCUGCUAUGAAGGUGACAGAAAGGGUGACUGACAUACUGAAAACAGUCUGAUUCCAUCAACAAACCUAUUUGAUUAUUAAAACUUGAUAAUUGGAUAAGCUUAAAUUUCAUGUGGUAGUUAGUGAAGUGAUCUUUGAGGAGGCUGAAUAGUUAAGAGUUAUUCAUGAUAAAGAGGAGGGAUUGAACAAGUGUGAAAUGUUUCCUACUCUUUUUCAGACAUAUAAACUCGAUAAAAAUACUCUUAAACUGCAUUAAGCUUUCUGUUUAUGUGUAAUAUUUUUUGGAUAAGCAUUUUGCUUUUUUUUUUAACUCAAACGUCUGAAAUAAAAUCUGAUCAAAUCCAAAUUCUCUACAAUUCAGGAGUAGCAGCUGGUUAUCUUACAGUGUAAUCAAUGUAACCAAUAAAAAAAAAAAAAACGCAGGGCCCACAUAUUCUCUUCGUGGUUUGGUCCUUGUCCUUUCAGUACAGAUUUUUUGUACUGUAGAUGAUAAAAUCCACAGAUUAUUUGAUAUUGUAUACUGAGGAUGACAUUGUAGAAUUGCUGAACUAUUUUAACUUUUUCAUAACAACAUUUUUAACUUUUCUGUUUCAAAAACUGUACAUCCCAAUAAAGUAAAGACUUUCAUGUUUAUACUCUCUUUCCUGAUCCUGGAUCUUCAUAUUUCAAACCUUACCGUCACAUAUGAAAGGCAGAGGAGAUUUAAUUAAGUUAGUCUUGUGAGAUGUAAUUAAGCAGCGCAGUGAAGCGGCUCUUUCCAAACCUAGCUGGAUGAUAGAGCGAUAGGUGUGUGAGAGCAGCACAUCCUGAGGCUACCUCAGUAGCUGGUGCAAUCAUCGCCGUCUCCCCGCAUCAGGUAUUUUAAAUAUAAUGGGGUUUGGCCUGGUUUCUCUUUGCCCCAGUUUAAGCUCCCUCUCUGCUAUGCCUAAUUAGACAGAAACAGUUCCCUCCUGUAUCAGCUGCACAUUACUGAGGCUCCUCCAUGGACAGGCAUGCUGCAGAAACAUUUUGAACCGUCACUGUAUUGUAUACCUGACAACGUAGAUGAGGAAGACAGUGCAACACCUUCGCCUUCAUGGCUGAUCAAAACUGAACAUUCAAAUUUGAACAAAGAGGGACCACAUCCCACCUUGAGGAGAACAGACCUGCAGGUAAGAACAGAUGCAGCUCUAUUCAUUAUCUAUGGAGGAAUGUCAGGAUUCAGAUCUGUGAUUGCCAUUCACUGCCACACGCUCCAACACACUCCACAAACCAAUUAAACCAAAUUGACAGGAUUGUUCAAACCGGUCUGAUUUGUCAGUUCCCCCUCCACACACACACCCAAGUAGACACUCAAAUAUACACACCCUUUGCAUGGGAUUACUUUACAUCAGACAGUGUGUCUGUGUUUGCUUUUUUAAGUGUCUUAACCUCAGCUGGAGAAACUGUGUUUGUCAAAUACUUGCUAUAUUUUGUUCUGUCUUGAACACAAAGGAGAACAGGAGGAAUAUAGUUCUAAAUUUUAAAGUAAAAUUUUUACUCACAGUUUUUUACUCUAAUUUCAGCAGCAUUAAAGUUGGGGUAGGCAGGAUUCCAUUUAAAAGCAUCUUUUUUGUGGUAUAUAUACAAAAAAGCUUUUAAUAUCAGUCAAUAGCUAUUAGUUAUUGAUGACAUUUGGCCAUAUAAUGAUAUCGCUGUGUUCUCCUAUGCCUGCGUAGUCAACAUAUUAAAUUUUUUGAGCAGCCUGCUCUUUCUGACUGUAAACAAAGCCAUUCUCAGCCUCCCCCAACGUGAUGGGUUGCAGGGCUCUCAAGUCUUACGCAUUCAGCGUGUGACACACGCAUUCCCACCCGUUCACACGCCACACAUUGUAUUUCUCACGCAUUUAAAUGAACAUCAUGUUGUUCACCAAGUUGCACCUCUUUAACUAUGGAACAGGUAGAAAUCAGAGUUCCUCCGAGAGUUCAGAAGCUGCGUGCCACGUGCAAGCCAAUCAAAUUAAGGAUAUCUACUGAACAGCCAAUCAAAAAGCAGCAUUGUUGUAUCCGGGUAGAUUUUGAUAUCUUGCGGUUUGACUACAGAAGAAGACAGACACUCGCCGAAAUAGAGCAGGUUUUUAUAAGGACGAGAAAGACCCGAUGAUUACAGUAAGUCAGUAAUCUACACAUGCAGAGACCUCAACACCUCAUGGCAUAUAAACUCAUGUGAUAAACUAAAGCCCUAUGCUAUUGCUAUUAACAGCUGUAUUGAAGAAUUUAGCCUCUGUACAGCCAUUUUCCCCUCCACAAAAGCAGCAUUUCUCAUAUAUUCUUUUUAAAGUUCUGAUACUCAUGACAGUGUAAUGCUGAUGUACCAAAGGAUUAAGUAUCUCUAUGUUUGAGAAACCUCUACUAAAGUACAAUUCAUCUAAAUGCUCCACAGUGCUGAUUUUAACAACUCACCUCCACAACAGGUAACUUUACGACUUUAGUCUUAUUCUCUUAAAUAAUAACUUUAUUCUCUAAGAUUUAAAAACCUUUUUUUUUCUUAAUGUGGCCCUCAUACUCCGUUGUAUUUAAGAGAUUAUUAUACUAAGCUUAGUUCAAAACUUGAGAGCCCUGGGGUUGUGAGGCGGACACUGCUCUCUCGUGCUGUGAGACACGCUCCACAUCCUCCAAUAACGUGCAUGAGUGUGCUACAACAUCAGACAGUAGAUAGCAACCAGAAAGUACGGAAAAAUGUCUGAAUCCUCCUUUGGCCACAACUGCCAACACAAGCAAGAAAACAGUAAAUACCGGAGACUCUGGUGAAAUUAAGGGCAUUUAAAAAGGAGGUAGACCAGACAAGAGCUAAAAACUGCUUUAGCAAAGUAAGCCAAGUGUCUGUAACAGAAGUGUUUCUGUCAAAUGGGACCUGCUGCGCAUUGUAGCGCAGCUAAACUGUUGACCUCGGGUCCUGGACUAUGUCACUUUAUCCUAGUUGUAGAAGUCCUGCAAACAUUGUGUUUGCUGGUAGUCUGUUGGCAUCUACAGUAGCACCAAUGCUUUUUACUUUCACAUUGACUGGGCCCCAUUUGUAAUCAUCUGAAGUAUUUAUCUGAAUUAUAUCUGAAUUUAGCUGGAACGAUACGGGCAAGCACAAGCUUCUGUUUGUGGGCGGGGCUUGCUGCAGCUGAGAGGGAGGGGAGAGGAGGAGCUAAGGGAUAAACUGGUUGGGAAGGGUAGAGUUUAAAUUCAAGAUUUCUCCCAAAUACUGGCACUUCCUCAGAUCCUGCCUACCCCACCUUUAAUUCUGUUUACAUGAACUUCGCAUAUUCCAGUUUUAUAUCCGUACAUGUAAACAUCAUUUCCUCACUUCAGAAACCAGGAUAAAUCUAGAUCCUGUUGUAGAGAAAACUGAUUGAGCUACUUUGUUGUUUCCUGGUUGAAGUGUUACAUAACAAAACAGACAGCAAAAUGAUUUAGCAAGUGGUUAAUGGGACAUCAUUUUAACAGCACUGUGCUGUUUGUCUGGAAAGUUUUGUGUUUUUUAAUUUAUUUCUUCAUCUAUCAAAGUUUAUUUACUACCUGGCUUUCUAGUUGCACGUUCAUGCUGUUCAACCACCAGCUUACGUCACAACAUACAAACACUGGAACAUGCACUGAAUGCUUGGAUCAAUUUUAGCUAGAUAGAGCCAAAUACAUGACAAAGAAAAUUGAUCCCAAACCAUAUCAUCCAGGUAUGUUAGUCUGACCAUGAGAAGUUUGAUUUCAGUGGGAUCUGGUAGAAGUUUGGGUGGCAGCUGCAGACUACCUGCACUGGCCGAGUGAUAUAACAAAAGAAAAACAACAGCAGCAACAAAAGUGUCUUCAAGAGGAACAAACUUGAAUAGAUGACAACUCGAUCUUACCAGACACAGCUGCACAUCUUCACACAUUGCUUCGUCCCUGCACAGUGGCAGAAACGAAGUUCAGAAGUGAGGAGAUUUGAAUGUUUUACUGUUGCUCUCAAUGAAAAUGAGGCAGAUGUGUUGUUUCUGCAUUUUGAAAAACCUGAUAUUACCACCUGACACCUGAAAUAGAAAAGGUGUGGUGAGACGGCGCCUCCUUUUGUUUUAUUUUGGUUGGACUUCCUGUGUUUCUUUGUUUGCCAGGUCUGGCUUGACUCUCUUCCAGAGCUCCCUCCCCUCCCCCGGUCACUGAGGCUGAGUGAGACUCCACACCUGCUCUACAUCUGCAAUCAAGGCACUUUAAGAAGCUAGCAGCCCUCAGUCUCAGCGCCUGAGUAUUGUCUUCACUCGCAAGUGGUACAGAUGUGUCUCCUGGCCUUCCUCAGAUAAUUACUUGUGACUUUUUACUCCCCAUGAUCCCUUGUAUGUCUUCUCACCUCCUUCUCCGCAGUGUCUCCAGCCCACACAAUAGCCAGCCAGCAAACAGGACUUUUUCCUCGUGCUUUGUUUCCUUGAGUUGGACAUUAAACCCUUUUUUUUUUUUUUUUUUUAAAUUUGCCGUCUGCUUCUGGGUCCACAAAAUACACCGCAUGCCACAAAAGGACACUGACAUUGGUGAUAAGAAGAGCAUCUUAAUUCAGGGGCAUCCAAGAAACUGGGUUUUAUUUCUCAGUAAUGACCGAAUUAAUACAGUUGGGAGUUUUACCUGCAAAGGAGUGAUGGCUUUAAAUAUUGCAUACUCUGCAGCGGUCAGUUUCUCUGAUUUUUCAUGCUGUGGGGUUUUUCUUUUGGGUGUAAUACGUCAACAACAUUGCAUAUCAUCCAUUCAGUGAAUUUAGAUUUUGUGUAGCCCGUGCAUGGCCUGCUGAUAAAAUUCUCCAAAUUAAAAAAAAAAAAAAAACUUUCUCAAGUUAGAGUUAAAAUUUCUCAUUUUAACUUCUGGAUCUGUGAAACUGAUCUUUUGCAUGCAAAACCUCAUGUGCUGAUAAGCAGAUUAAUUGGAGAAGAGUGUCAGGGAAAGAUGCUUUCUAAGGUGGUCUUUACACAAGGACAAAUUUGUCAGACACCAGUAAAAUAAACUAUCGAUCUGGUGAUAUUGACACAUGGAGACGCGUAUUUGUCCAUGACUCCGCAUCUUUUUUGAAAACGGGUCUGCAGGUGGAUAUCUGGGUAUUCGUCUUCAUGCCGUAGUUGGUGUAAAUACAUAAGUCCGGCAAAGACGGUGACCUCAUAGCACCCCUCCUUCUCCCAACCCCCCAACCCACGUUGUCAGACACGCGCAGCAUGUAUGUAUGCGCAUCCGCUGUUUUUGGUGCUUUGUGGCAAUUUCACAGUGUCACCUUUAGGCCGAGCGUAUGUAGUACAGGAUUUUGCGUGGAUUUUGUGUUGUCAUGUAAAUGCACUAAGCCUAUGUACAAUACGAUGUGUAAACAGCGAUACACAUUUUGGUGGCGACGCCAAGACAAUACGGGGCCGUCGUCGUGUAAGGAGGGCCUAAAUGUGACCUAAAGUAGUGAGCAUGGGCACACAUACUAUGUGUGUAAAGAGGGUAGCAAUAAAGCAAAAACAAGAUAAUCUAAAUAGAUUUAGCUGUUGAAGCAAGAAUAACAUUUGCCAUAUAAGCUGCAUUAUUCAGAAACCAGCAUACAGGCAUUUGUUAUGUGUGUAGGGAUAUGAAUAUCCAGGUUUCUGAGCAUGUGAACGCUGUCUAACUAUGAUUAAAACUAAGAAGUCAUCUGACUUAAGUCUGUGUAAAUGCACUUGUUUUCAACCAUUAGCAUUAAUUAGCAUGAUACAGUUUUAACACAGUUUUAAAACACAGGCCGACAUGCAGUGCACUAUCCAUAUAUUUCACUCACAGAUGACUACAUCAGGUGCUCCUGUUGUGGGACAUAAAUUUUUGAAAGUGCAUUCAUCCCAUCAUUUACAGACCCCACAACUUGAUUUCUGUUUUUAUUUUAAUUUUUUUUUUUUUUGGGGGGGGGUGAGAAUAUUGAAGUAUGCUGUGGGAUCUCCAUGCUGACAUCGCCCAAAGAGAUGAUUUUUUUUCCAAGAGCGCAACCUUGGGGUGUGAUGUUUAUUGAGCAUUCAAUGAAAAGGACCCAUGCUUACAGUCAAAACAGCCUCCAACACAUACAGAUAAGAAGAGUCUGAAUCCACUGUUACACUCAUAAAACAUGGAUUCAUACAGACCAACAAUGAGGUUAUUAUUUUCUGAUUUGUUUCCAGCUCUGCUCUCAGAGUGAAAAAACUGUUUAAAAAAAAAGAAGUAUAUUUCUUCAUAAAAUUAAUAACUGAAUAAGAGAAUUGGAUGAGCUUUCUCUGUAACUCACAUGCAACAUUUCAAUGCAAGCCAAGUUUCAGGAGUCCCAGCAGACAUCUCCCUGAGCUUCCCCGCAUAAAGAAACAUCAGCCUCUGCCUCACAGACUCUGGAUUCAGCUGCGGUCAGCUGUGUUUUCCAGCACACUUCAGUCUGCAGCAGCUAAUAAGACUAUUUCAGCCUCUACCUGCAACCGAUGGCUGAGAUGCACUCCUCAAUAAUGCAUUAGACAGGCAGGAGAGCACCCCUGGGUCCCCCCUUUUCUCUCUCUCUUUCUCUAUCUCCCCCUCCUCUUCUCCUCUUUGCACAUACUGUACAGCCAAAUACAGUGAUGAUGAUGAUGAUGAUGAUGAUGAUGGUGCCUCUGCAGCCUGACUCAAAUGUGAGUAAGGUCUAUUGAUUUUUGCACAGAAAGCAGCACUUCUCAUCUUCUCCUGGUCAGGCUGCAGAAUGUAUUGGAGUGAAGAGUGUGGUGGUGGGGGUAAUAUACAACAAAACCAUGAGGGAGAUGGAGAGGGUGGAGGAGGGGGUUUGGAGGAAGAGGGGGUGGUCAGAGGAGCAAAGCAAGAGAAACAAACUGGAAAAAUAAGAGAGGCAACGGUGCUUUGUUGGUCUUUCAGGCACAGUGACAUCACCACUCAGCUUCCCUGAGGACAGAGGAGUGAGACGGUGGAGGGGAGGGAAGAAAAAUAGAAAAGCUAAGGCGAGGAGAGAAGUGACUGUUGCUCUGUGAAGCAACUUCUGUGGUCUUCGUAGCCUCUUGGGCUUUCUGUCACAGAGAGCCCCCAUGACCCUGUAAAAGUGUGCUGUAUGUGCCACAGAGUGCAGAUUGUAACUUUAGCCAAAACUCUUCUCCUUACUCGACAUGUUCCCUCACCAGAACCUCAAGUGGUCCAGAGAGCUCUGUGAAACUAAGUGCAAGAACAUGCAUGAAAAUAGAUAGAGUUGAUCUAAAAACUCAGCUGCAACUUCCAAUACUCCCAGAAACCCAGUUUAUCCUCUGGAGGCUGUUUGUCUUACAAUGCAAGUUGAUUUUACACAAAGUAGGUUUAUUACAUGUCUUUUUUUUUUUCUUCAGCAGAUAUUGUAAACACAACACUAUUUUGAUGCGUAGGACAGCAGUUGGAUUGAUCGUGUCAUCUGUUUUUCCCUCAACAACUUAUUCUUUUAGUGCCAGCAUCCUCUUGCAAUGUGUUACAUCAUUUGGAAAGCACAGAGACCUGUGUGGAAGGCACUGACAAGAGAAUCAUUAGGCAAAGAAGCAGAUUAUUUGUAUGGCUCAAACGAGUCAGAACCGGUUUUCACCUGGAACUGUUUCUGGAUCUCCAUCCUUAUUUACAAAGGUUCUUGAAAAUGCUCCACUUUCUCCAACCUCAGAAGUUAUUUUUCCUGUUACAAUUAACAUUACCAAGUUUGUUCUGGUAACAUGAUUUAAACAUGGAGUUAUUUCUUCUGUUCAUCCCCUCACUGUGUUCUCACCUUAGCUCUCCCCAACCUCACAUGGAAAUUUCAGCAGUUGGGUCAUUCCAUGUCAAUUCAACCAAGAAUCUCCUCUCAUGUCACAGAUUUUGAGGAAACUUGGUGGAGUGAUUGGCCUUCAGGAGAACCUGUCAGAGCUCAAAUAUUUUUGUUCAAAGCCAUCUAAUUAGUGAGAUAGGAGCUAAUGAAUUUUUGGCUAACUAGUACUAGUAACUAACUAGUACUUCAAAAGUAUGCUAAAAGUACUUUUGAAGUAUAAAGGAAACGUUGAAAGGGCUCAGGAUAAAUAGCCUGGAAUACUUCACAGGGAAACCAGCAACAAAUUUUCAGGGUGAAAUUGAAGAGAGCUUUAAAAUGACACCCGAAUCAGCUCUCUAGGUGUCAUACUUCCAGAGAUAUGAACACUUUUGUAACGCAUGUCAUGCUAGUUAGCCAAAAAUUCAUUAGCCCCUAUCUCACUAAUUAGAUGGCUUUGAACAAAAAUAUUUGAGCUCUGACAGUUUCUCCUAAAGGCCAAUCACUCCACCAAAUUUCAUCAAAAUCUGUGACGUGAGUGGAGAUUCUUGGUUGAAUUGACAUGGAACGACCCAGUUCUGAGGAGUUUGGGGAGAUUUUUGGAGGGGAAGUUUUAGCCAAUGGAGACGUGGUGGCUUUGAGGUCUGAAAUAGCUGUCAAAAAAACUCGACUAACUUGAACAAGAAGCUUUUAUAUUUGUCAGUUGAAAUGUUAAAUUAAAGCCAAUAAAGCCAAAGUCACAGAUGUGGGCUGAAGUCAAGAAAUUCGUCUUGACUUGCAUGUGCAAACACAUUCUGAAGGUAACUUUUGCAGAAGGAGAUGGGUGAUAUCUGUCUGUUUGCACAUCUUUUUUUUCUGUAGUUAUGACCAUAAGAGCCACUAAGAAUAACAAAUGAAGCUAACAUAAGGUUUGGUGUUUUACAAAAAUCACAUAUUCAUGAUGUCAGUCUGGUCUGAACAUCAAAUUUACACAUUCUCUUCUGUCCUGAGAGUCUGAUAAACAGUGAACCAGAGCGAAGCCAAGAUAAUGAGCAUUGUCUCCUCAUUUGUCUCUGUCCACUGGUGUCUCCCUAAGUGGACCUUCCAUUGAUAACUACACAAUACCUCCCUCCCCAUGCAACAAAAGCUCCUUCAACCAGAUGGCAAAUUAGCGCUAAUUGUUCAAAAACAAUGUGGAUAGCUGAUGACAGACACUGAGGGUGCACGGCUGAGACAGCAGCAGGAUGAUGUUUGGACAGAAGAUUUUUUUUUCCAUUCAGACUUCUCCUGCUCUGCGCUCCCACACCAAGCCGGUAAGGGGGCGAGUGGGGAUCAUUAUUUGGUCCUCUAAGGGCCCAGCCAUUUACUACACAUUCACCACGUUCAAUCUGCAGCAGCAGACACAUGGAUAGACCUGUGAUUUCUCUGUGUAAGUGGAAAACAGAUGAGGGGCUGCUGAUUCACUCACUUUUUUACACUCUGCUCGCGCCUCAGAUCAGUAAAGAAGCUCCACCUUCAAGUGUGAUGUUAUCAGCCUGCUUGAUGAAGACACGUUAGCUCUCUGCUUUAAAAGGCCUGUUUUCAUGCAAGACUGUUACGUGAUUCCAACAUUUUGAGGGUCUAGAGGUUUUUCCAUGCAUGCAGGGCUUGCAUAACUGCACUACAAUAAAACAAUAUGUGUUGUUUCUGGCCACUUCCAAAGGUCACCUCAGUGUUAAUGACUUGGGUAAUGGAGCUAGUGACACGCUGCUGACACACUCGACAACGCUCACUUUUGUGUGCACUAAGCAAAAACUGGCAGGAGAGCAUUUUCAUGAUGAAUUGCACUACUUGCUCACUGGCGUCUGGCUUUAAAAAAAUAAAAUUACUAAUGUCCUGUUGAAGUUUCCGAGGUCUUUUUCCCCUUGCAGUGAAUUAAAACGUAAAAAUGACUGUGUUUGGGUUGGUCAGUCUUCACAAUGGCAGGAGCAGAGUGAGAUGAGGUAGUAGUGUUCGGGGUUAUAUUUAGAGAGAGGAAAAAGAGGGGAGCUCUGCUGGAAACCACAAAAUGAAGAGGCCACAGCUUCUGUUCAAACAAGCAUAACAAACCAAGACUUAUUUUAGCCUCACUGGUGAGCGGUUCGAGAGGACACACUCCACUGAGAGGACAGCUGCGGUGUUGACCAGAACCACAAUCUAUUACCAUUGGACAAUCAAUCAAAACUGAAAGACAAGGUCAAGGAAAAUGGCCAUGAAAUAAAAAGAGGUUGACCCCUACACACAGAGACCUUUGAGAGCAUGCAGUCAGUUAAAGUUUAAAAAAAAAUGUAUAAAAAGAGGGAAAGUCUAACAAAAAAGACAAAUAGUGAAGCAGAGCAGACUUUAGAGGUCCUUAUUCCUUUAGGGCUCAUCUGCUUCAAUGGUGAAUGUUAGGCUGCAUGAAGCCCUCUUUAAUUUUCCCCCAAAUUCUUUUUUUUUCUUCUUUGUUUUAAUUUUCUGAGUUCUGUGUUUACCACUGUUAACACUUAUUGUCACCUAGAGUGUCUAAUCAUGCGGCAAGUGAAUGAAAUUUCAACAGAUACGCAGGUAAAUAUGCUGACUAUAAGAAAUGAAUUGACAAACCAUAAAGCCUACACAGCUAUGCUUAAUUUGGACAGGUUCAAUUACCAACUGAGAUUCUGCAGGGAGAGCCUGUGAAGAUUUCUUCACACUAUUAUGUCAAGUGACCAGAAGCCAUGCAGAUUUGCUUAUGCAUACUAUUUCAAAAUGCCAUUAUUAACCUGAUUAUUUGGCCUUACCUAUGAAUCCUGCUCUCUCCAGCUUACAUGCAUGGUUAAGUCAAAAUGUGGUUUGAGCUUGUGAGGAAAACUGUCCUUUUCCUGGAACAGAAGCUUGUGGAAAAUCAAGUUAUUGCAUUGUUAUUAAAAACAUGUCCAACUCCACCUUCAGGUCGUUGUAGAUACAUCCUUGUUUAGCUAGCUACUGUUGUACUGACUUUCAGCUGACCGUGAUAUACCAAAACAAUCAGUAAAUGUGUCAGCAAGAAACUAGUUGGAUGUCAAAUGGCAAAAACAUGAACAUCUUAUCAGGACUAUUUUUUCAUACUUUUAUGAUUUGUUUCUGACUUUUUUCUUCCUCUGUUGAGGUUUAAUUUACUUCCUUGGCUUUCUUUGACGCAUUGAUGAUGUUUGACUAUCAGGCGUGCAAACUGUGAAGUCUGCAGAACUGACUGAGAUGUUUGCAUGCUAAUAUUCAGUGCUCACGGGGACCUCUGCAGUAAAGAAGUAUAAACUAGGCUUUAAUUAGACACUAAGGACAUGCAGUUAUUCAUAAUUAGACACUGGGAUUAUUUUUCAAGUUCACCACUUGUUUGAAUCCACAAAUGUUUUAUGGCUAUCUGUACCAAUCCUAGCUUGACCCAAUAUGUUUGAUGGUGACAUGAAGUUUAAGAAUCACUGAAGAAAUGAGGCUUCAUCCUGUAGAGUCCCUGAAUAUCUACUUUAAAGGAAACAGUCAAGUGGACUCACCACCUCUGCGGUCGACACCUGAACGAGUAAAGAAAAGCCUGUGGGUAACUUCAGCUUCACGCUUAAUUCUUCCCCCAGAAAUUAUUUGAUUGAACUCCUGAAACACCACCAAGGGAACAUUUAGUAUGUUUUCUCCCUGCUCCACAGUGGGGGAUGGGGGUGGGUAUCUCAGAGAAAACAUUGACUCUGUCUCCACUUUGCCCAAACCAACCGAUCCAACUCCAGCCUAAAAAUAUCAGUUCACCUUCCCUUUCAUCCAAAUCUGAGCAACGCCUCAAUUAAAUACAAACAGCAAGAAUCCAAACACCUGUUAGUGACGCUGCAAGAUUUUCAAAGACCCUCUGAGCUGCUUUGAACGUCUGCCUCUUCUCUUUAUCUCCUCCCUCUUUGGAGCAUUGAUUUACAGCCUGAGAGUUCAUAUAAAACUUGAUGAAUGGAGGGGUUGUGGGUACGAGGGGAUAGAGAGCGUCCUGUCUGCAUCAACAGUGGAAAAAAAGCAAACCUCCGGGGUGACAGAGGGGGCGAUGUGUUCAGGCUUGUCGACUUAAAAGCAGGUAUAAGGAGCCCCUCAGCACGUCCUGGCACUCCAGUUCCUGCCAUUUGUUCUCCAUCCCCGGGAUAAAAACAUGGCUGAAAGAACAGGAUGUCGGAUGUAGACAGCUUUGCUAGUUUUGGACACGAUUGUCUGCAAUUAUCAUCUAAGUUUUUGCAUGGGGAACCUGUGAAGACUUCCUCUCUACUUCCUACCUUUGCAGCCUGAGUCCUCAGUGAUUUCACCUGAUGAGAAAAUCAAGUAGAGUCAUACCAGAUUCCCUUUCUACCAUCUCACCCUCAAAUCAUCAUUUGGAAAUCUACCCCACAAUUAAGUAAUUUUCCAGGAAUUUGGCUCGGUGGCUGUGGAUUCGGUCUAGUUGGGUCGUGCAUAAGCCAAGUCGGAGUGUAUUUUACUCAUCUCUUCCUCUUAAGUGUCAUUUUUCAGGUUCUUGGCAGUCAAUCGCAGCACCACAGGAGACAAGUAAAGGCCUUGUCGAUAUGAAACCGCCAUAAUCACUGAGAGCAGCAGCAGAGUAAAUAAAUAUAUCACCUGUCCCAACAUUUCCCUCUAAUGAAGUGAGGCUAAUUCCCCACUCGAAUCAAGCGGCAGCUAUCGGUUUACCAACAGCAUCAGCUCUCUGCUGUCAUCCAGCCUGACAUCUGUAAUGAUAACAGAGCUCACACUAAAGCCUCCCUGCCUCGUCUUCUUGUCCUCUUUACACACAGAUUAAUUUCAGCUCCAGCUUGACAGACAGACACAUCGUCGAAACCUGCCCCGCUAUUCAAGGUUACGGAGUCAAUGCCGGCAUCAGGAAUGUGCGUGCACCUGCAUGUGUAAAUGUGGCUGCGUGUAUGUGUGUUUCACUGCCUGCCUCCUCUCCACUGCCUGCCAAAGCCACUUCCUUAAACAUGUCAGACAUAAUCCUGUCAUUGCUGGAGGGGAAAUAGUGGAGAAUGGCUGGCGAGCAAGCCUGAGAGAAGAGAGAAGGGCAGCGAAGGAGGGAGAUGAUAAAUAGUGCAGGUUAUAUGUCCAGGUGUGAAUGUUUCCACCAACAAACCUGGACAAAAGGCAGAUUUAGAUAUAAGCAGAGUUAUCCACUCCAAACUUGGCAUUUAUAGAGUAAUUACAGCUGCAUUUUGGCAAACACAAAGCCACAGUAGCCGUGGAUCGUGGAUGUGGGUUCGAGGUGUUCCUGUGUUUUGGCAGAGUUUCCCUCUAAGUGGAAAAACACAGAUGUCAACAAUCUGUUUCUGGAAUCUUGCACCUCAUUCUUUUUUGGUACUAACCUUGGUUACAGUUUUAAAUCCAGACUCAGUCACGUCAAGUCUGCAGAGUUAAAGGACCACCCUGUGUAAUCUCCGCUCAAAGCUUAGACCAACAGUUUCAAACAUAACUCCUAUCAGUUGUAGUAAAAUUGAGUGAUGGCUGAGAACUAGUAACACAGUGACAUAACAAGGAGAGGUGUUGGACCCAGGCCAGUGGAUUACAUAAUGCUCUGUAUUUGGAGGUAAACAGAAAGUGAGAGCACCUGUGUAUCAGGAAUAAUCCCUCAGGCCACAAGCAAAUGACGAGUUCAUAUAACUGACAGAAAAACUGUGUAUUUCAUGAUAAACAGGUCCAGUCUAUCGUCUUGUGUGCAACAGUCAAAGAUGUUUUAAUUUACCUCUCAUGCCAAACCUACUCAUUAGAGAUCCUUUCCAGACAAUUUUGAUUCAUUUUUCUAAAAAUAACAUCCCAAUCCCAGUUGUGAGGAAAUAUUUUGAAUAAAUGCUCAUAUAAGCUUGCCUGACCAUCAGGGGGCAAUACUGUGGAUUCAGUGCAUCUUAUCAAACAUCUCAAGUGUGUUUCAGUGAAUUGAUAACUUUUGAGCUUAAUGUAUUUAUUUUUCAUUUUAUGUAUUUAUAUUCAUUUAUUUAUAUUCACAGAAUAUUGAGAUUUUUUUUUCUUUUAAAUCUUACAGCCCUAAGCAGAUAGAAGUAAGCAAGUUCCACCUUACUUCAUGGAUGAUAAAUAUAAAUCAAAAUUUCCAGAGGUGGAGGAACGUCCAGCAAAACGCAAAUUCAACAGUGCAGUAAUGUGCAGUUUCUUCAGUUUCCACUAGAGGCAGGCCACAAAAGCACGACUAGCUACCUUCACACCCAUUCAAAAAGUCUAUCUUUACAGAAAGAUGUAUACUUAUUUAUCUCUGCCUGCUAUUAGGUGUUGGACAGAAGUAUAAUAAGUGCAGGUAUAGAGAUAAUAGUGAACACAAAGCAUAAACAUGACAUUAUAAAGUCUAUGCUACAAGAAUGAAGUCACGAUAUUAACUAAGUCACUACAGUUACCAUGCCAACAAGUGAAAUUGAUACAGUCCUGUGCCUGUUUUUUUUGAUUUUCCUCCUGAAGCACCAACUAAAACUGAGUUUUUAUACAUAAACCUUUGUUUUGACAGUUUAAGGGUCCUUCGUUGAAUGAAGGACCCUUAAACUGACUAACACUACCACAGACCUCCAUCUGAAAAUAAGGUUUGGUAUCCCUUUUCAGCAGACUGUGAAUUAAGCUUGACCGCAAGUGUCACAUUGAGUUAUUGUGUAACUUAAAGAAAAAGACAUCAGUCUGUUCAACAUUUCAGAUGGGUAAAUAUGUGUGAUAGUAUUUUCAACCAUCUUUGACUCCACACAACCAAACUAACCUGACUUAUAAAAACCUGGAUUUACUGACGUUUUCAGAACUAUUAUAAGAUCCAGUUUUGCAGUUCAUGCCUGGAAAUGCAGUUAAAAACCACAGACGUGUCUAGACAGAUAUUUAUUAUACAACGUACCUCAGACAAUUCAGGAAACUAGAGUCCAGAUAAUAUCAGUUUCUGGGGGAUGCCAACGUCACUCACACCAUGACAUCAGGAAACUGGAAGGUAAACAGGAGCAGAAUAUAGCUGCUAUGAGAGAUUGCAAACCUGAGCCUCUGAUAGUCUUCAUGCAUGUGGAAAACAGUAUCAGUUCCUUGUCUGUGAAGCUUCAUCCUGUCACUGUGUGAGUUAUCUACUUGUAUCAGACUUCUUAGACUGAACCAAGUGAAAUAUUGUCACAGUCUAAUUGCAAAGACACUGAUAGCAGCAAGAACCAGGAGAUAGAAGAAACCAUCCAGAGAAUAAAGAUGUCAGGCUCUCCGUCCCAUCUGUCCGCGACACCAACCUGCUGUCUCCUCCUUCUUAGAUUGUGUUGGCACUCUGCCUUCCUCUGUCCAUGAGAGCAAGGGAUCCUUAGCUAAAUCUCAAGAGCACAUGCAGUAGUUAAGGCUCUGUAUAUUGAUCUUGUGGAAUAAAGCAGCACAUAGAGAUGCUAUUGUAACAUGAUAGGGGCAAAAGAAGAAGAGAGCGAACUUUGGUUUCCAUCACUUAUACAGUUUGCACAUGCAGGAUUAUAUAAGAGCUAGCUGGAAUGAUUGCAAAUCCCACCUGAUCUGGAAACACUUUGGGAUCCUCCAGGAGAAGCUGGAGAUUUUACUGGAAAAGGGAAGUCCUGAUUGGCUUGCUUGGACUGUUGCCCCUCCUACCUAAAACAAGAUAAGCAGAAGAAAGUGAAUGGAUGGGUGAACUAUGAAAGUGGACAAACUCGCUGGCAAAAAGCUCCAAGUCUGCACAAGUCUGCAACAAGUUGCAAAACUGAUUACACCAUCCAUGCAUCCAUCUACCUAUCCAUCCAUCCAUCCAUCCAUCCAUCCAUCCAACCAUCCAUCCAUCCAUUUGUCAGUCCAUCAAUCAAUCUAUUCAUUGAUUGAUGCAAUCAUGACAUAAUGCAUUUCAUUAUCCAAUACAGCAUUCCUUCAUCCAUCAUUCAUCCAUUCAUGCCUCCACAUGUCAAUGUAUUGUUCCGUUUCUCCAUAUCUACCCAUCCAUCCAUUCAUGCAUUCAUCCAUCCAUUAUGCAUCAAUACCUCAAUUAAUACAUUCAAGCAUCCAUCUAUCCAUGCAUCUUUGAAUCCAACGCUGGCAGCCCUAAUCAUUUCCUUUCAGGGUGAAAUUUACAAUGUUAUAGUUUCUCUUUAUUGACAGGGGUAACUAGAAAGAGCUAAUAGCCAAUUUGGCAUACUGAAGAUGUUAUAUGAUGUGAAACAUAUAAUUUGUCAAAUAUUAAUCUAAAAAGGUAGAAAAACUGAAAUGACCAGUGCAGAAGUCUCACUAUACCUCUGUUAACAGUGCGCUUCAAAUUCAAUAAGGAAAAAUUAUGAUAGGAAGGAUGAAACCCUGAGUAUUCAUGACUUAAAUGAAGAUGAAUGUAUACUGAACAGAAGCUAAGGUUAUGGUUUAUCUAUUUGACGGAAAAACCUUCCAAGCAAAUUAAGAAGACAGUCAAACUGCACUUCAAAUUUACAGGCUGGUGUCUUUGGAAAUAAGACAGUUCUUUACAGUAUGUGCUGCUGUGAAGUUGCUGCAGACUCUUUCUUGCCAAGCCUGCAUUAGUUUCUAUACGUUUCCAGUCCAAGUUUUGAGGUUUCUCUCUCCCGAUAAAUUGCAGGAAAGCAUUCCAGCACUUGUACCGUGCAGCUGUAGUCCAACAUUAACAAAGCCCUCUGAAGCAUAUAUCACCCUGCCAUGGAAUUCAAUCUUUCCCAGAGGAGGUUUGAAAAACAAACCGUAUUCCCGUCAACCAAGGCUGGAAGUAGCAUCUGUCAAUAAAGCAGAAAUGAAGGGCUUGAUUAUACAGCUGGCUGGCCAGGAGCCAUCUCUCCAAAGACAGGAGAGAAGUGAAAGAAAGGAAGAAGGGGAAGAAGAAGAAGAGAUGUAAGAAAUUGGUUGUUUUACUUCGGCCGGGCCCUUCCUUGCCCAUGCUAUGCAGCAGCUGUAAACGCACCAGUCAAAACAAAUCUGGGAUGCCAAGGGCUAUUCUGCUUUCUGCACACACCCCGACCCCAACUAUACACACAAACACAAACCUGUGUGGUAUUUCCUACCAACGUCUUCUUCUCUGGUGUACAAAUGUGAGUGAGGCCUGUGGCAGAGUUUGACCUCUCUGACUGGAGUCUUCAUCGUCUUCGCUGCAAAUCAAACUUUCUCGCAUGUAUUCAAACAAAAAUAAUCAGUUCUUGAACGGUCAUGUUUGGUUUGGAUGCUGAUGGAAACAGCAGAAGGCUCUGGAAUUUUCUCUAUUCAGAUCUUUGUGUUCUGCCCUAAAGAAUUACCUGUCUGCUGUGAGUAUGAAAGCCACCGCAGGUCAGCAAAGUGCUUCAGAUGUGCCUGAUGAUAAAGUUUAAGAGCAAAAAUGCAACUAGAGAUGAUGCACAAAGCAGAGAGCAGCUGUAAAAAUGUCUGUAAAUACAUAAAUAUACACAAACAGCUACAGAGGAGACAGGGCAGGGAUGGUUUUGUGCUGAAAUGGCUCUUCUUGUCUCUCAUGGGUGCCACUUGACAUCAGGCCAAAAAGGGCUGCUGAAAGGCUGUGCAUGUGUGCGUGCAUGUGCAAGAUCCACAUCUCCUCAACCGGUGGAGCCAAGCUGCUCUAAGCACUCCAACAUCCCACCUAGCAAAAUAAACCGGACAAUUAAAAAACAACAUACAGACCCAGUUCCUCUCAGGACCUUCACCUAAACUUUUCCAGUGCUGCCUUCCCCCCUUUCACCCCCCUGCCUCCCUUCUUCCCUCUCCUCCUUUCUUCUUUUUCACAUGCUUUUACAGUGAGGUACGCUGAAAGCUCUCUUUGUUGCCACGGUCUGUGGCGUUUGAAUGGUACCAAACAAGCGCCCAAGUGCACCGAGCCCCCAAGACAGCUGCUGAAUAGAAUUCUUCCCCUGACUUCUCCCUGGCCGAGCGACAAUGAGUGGGACCACUCCUUUCUAGUCAAGCCCGCACUAAUGGCUAAGACAAUAUUUGCAGGAAUGAGGGGGAUUUAAUUUGCAUUCAGGCUGUCUCCAUUUCUUUUCACAAGUCUUGGGCCUGCUCAGUUCAACAGUGCCGCAGCCUCUGAAAGUUCGUAUUCUGCCGACUUCGCUUUGAUUUUUUUCAUUCCAAACCCCUCCAUCGCCACUCAAACCCCCCAGCCCACUCCUCUUUUUUUUCAGUCUUUCAAACACCAUUUGCUGCCCUGUGCUCAGUUUCUCCAGUCCAAAACGUAAAAGAAGCAAAAGAAGGGGUAGGGGCUGCAAGAAAAGGAACAGGUGUGGGUCAGAAUAGGGGGAAGAACAUUUUCCUGAAAGAGAAAGAAAAUCUGCUUGUUUUCUUAAAUAUAAAACCCAUACAUGCUUUUGCACAGUAAAACUAAUUGCAUUGGUUUUCAGAUUAUCCUCAGGUGCAAAUUGACUAAAUCAGAGCCCUCAUGAUCUUUAAGGGUUCACAUGAAAGUGCGACCCAAAAAUAUGUAGAUAAACCAGCCUGCAGGAUUAACUGCAAAAGCUUUUUAUCUAAAACUGAUUUUCCAAAAGCUAUUGUUGCAGGUGUAAAAGUAGCUUCAGGCCACAAAAAUAAUUCCUUUGCCAGUGCCUGAUAAAACAAAGUAAUUAGCAAAGUCGUUUUAAAAGCACGGUGCUUUAGAUUACAAAAGAAAAAUACAAGAGGCAAAAAAGCCUGUAAUGCUGAGUGACAGCAGAGAGAGUGUCGAGAUGCUGUAAAACACCAAACUGUGUUUUCCUCCAGGCUUCUUGAAGCCCUUUAAAGCAGCUCCACACACACGUUAAGCUGUACACACACUGCUAAUUAUCACGGCUACAUUUUUACUCAUUUGAUGCUGAAAUGAAAAUGUUCCUGAGGAUUGUUACCAUAGAAAUCGCCUCGCUAAAUGCCUGUCGCAUCAAUUGCUGCUGUAUGACUGACUUUUUUUUUUUCCGUGGCCGGUGAGAGGCUCGGUGCGGCGUGGUAACAAAGACACAACGGAGUAUAACGUCAGUUUGGGUGUGAAAAUACGAGAGGCUGGAAAGCAGCCAGGAGCCGUCCAUCUACAGACACAGUGACAGAUCAUUUUCAUAUUGUAAGAUGACAGUGAAAUCUAUAUUUGUGAUGCUUGGCUAUGAAAGCACUGUGUUUACUCUGCUUUGAAGGAGUGACACCAUAUGAGCCAGGAAUACAAACCCAGAGUUCAUUUUCAUGUUACUCUCUUCACUUCAUCUUUGUCAUUCAGGGAAAGGCUUUGAUAAGCCAUCCUGUGUUAGAAGAGGUCAUGGCACUUUUUGAAAAACUGACUUUUCAAUAAGAGGCUGCAACCAUACAGCACCUUUAAAACAAGCUGGGAAAAAAAAUAUAUAUAUAUAUAUAUAUAUAUAUAUAUAUAUAUAUAUAUAAGGGUUUUGUCCACAUGGACACACUGGGCAGUAAGACUGGGAAGAGCGUAAAUGUAUACAACCUGUAGGGUGUGCAGUUAUUCGCAUGAUCAAGACAGCAACAAAAUCACAAAAUCAAGUUAAAGACACAGUCACACACAGCACAGUUCAUAAGCAUUUGAUAUCAUUGGAUAUCUGAUGUGAACACAUUACUCUUAAGGUCAUUACACACCGGCAAAUUUGCGACGUGAAUAAUUUUCUUUUUUUUUCAAAACCUCAUUAAGUCAAUGGAAGCUUCCACACCAGCUAUGAACUUAUGCAGAGGGAAAAAGUGACUGUAUUUUUUCCGCCCCUGUAGCAAAUUUUGUGGACAUUCACAGGUGAACUGCUUUAUAAAUCUAUAGCCUGAUAUACCUCAGACAUGUGGCAAGCUGUUGUUCUGGAUCAAUCUGCUCUCUGUAAUUUGUUCUCUCCUUCUACAAACGUGGAGUCAGCUGAUGGAGCAGUUCUUGAAAUUGUCCAAGGGACAUUCUGAAGUAUUGUUGGAAUUUCUCAGGAUACUAUUUGAGCUCCUAGAUCGUUGUGUUGAGCUCCCCCAUCUCCGGUCACAGGGUCAGUAUUGGAUGUACCCAGACUCUUCAAUUUGUCUCUUUCUUUUUGUUUUUUAAUAGGCUUACAACCAUGAGCAGGUCAUCAUCACUUGAGGAUGUAGUCGCCAUUGUUUCUGCUUCUUCUCUCUCUCCCUCUAUUCUCCCAUGGCCUAUUUUUAAUUUUAUUUGCGUCGCACCAGAUGUGUGUAGGAAAAGGCUUAAGCUGAAUAUUUCACAUUUUCGUGUCACUUCACGAUUGGCCGGUGUGUAACAACCUUUAGUGUGACAGGAUAUUUUCUUUAGAACCAGACAUAAAACAAGACCAUUAAAAUAUGAUUUUAACAUCAACAUAGACAUUCAGCUGAAAAACUUAAAUGCAGCCGACAAGCUAACACACAAUAGCGCCAUUGAUGCAACACUUUUGGCUAGUGAUAAUAUAGGAAGUUCUCAUCUCUGCUGACACUGAUAUCAUCCUGCUAACAUUGUUUAUCCCUAAGGAUUAUAUCUCUCCAAAUGAACGUACUUAAACAAUAGAGCCAAUAGAGUUCAUGACUACUUUUUUUGUCAUGAACUUUUUUUGGUGCCGAAGCUUCAUUAGUGCAAACAUUUCACCUCUUUUGUAGCAUCAAAGAACUCAUUAAAACAAAAAACAGAGCACUUCAACUUUAAACAGCAUAAAAGCUCACUUAAUGACAGAGACCAUGUUUGAGAAAUAUUUAUUGUUGUUGGUGAUUUGAUUUUCAAGUUAGACCCAUGUCCCAUCUGUUAACAUGGAGGAGGCAGGCUUUUUAGCAUGUACCAUGGCUAGGCGUAGGGGAAGUAGGGGAAGCUUUCAGUGUUUUGACUUUAUUUGGAGAGUUUAUUUUUACCUACCCUGAAGAAUCUGAGAGUCUUUCCCCAAAGUUAAACUAUGUUCAUACGACACAAUAUCUACACACCCUGAGGAAAACGUCUUCACCUCUAACCUGACUCUACCCCAGUACUGUACAGCAUUGGCUGCAGCUCUGCAAACCACAAAAAAAGAAAACACAUAUACAGAACUCCUGCACUGCAUUAUAUCUUUGACAGUAAUUUGUCCUCCAAGGUUGUAAUGCUGACAUUGUUCCUGCAAAAUGCUGCUGUUUUAAAGAUGUCUUUCAGCAGGAAUAAAACAUGUAGCCUCUGUCGAGAGGUUUGUGCCUCUGGGAACGUGAGAUGGUAAACAGACAUUUGACAGGGCUGUUCACACACACCACAAUAAAGCGCUGUGUGUUCGCCUAUUCUCUUUGAGAUGUUGAAGCACAGCUCAACGUGGGGAGCUUUUGCUUUUGCAUCUGCACAGGUUUUCCGGAAAUGUGUGUUUCAGUCAUAAAUAUUCAGCUGACAAAUUGAAUAAUCAUAGAGGGAGACAUUGAAACAGGGAGCCUGACCCUGUGGAUAACCUUUUCAAAAUUAUGGCAGAUGUAUUUUACAAUUAAACGCCAAUUUCUAAUCUCUCUCUCUCUCUCUCUCUCUCUCUAUGUAUAGAUAGAUAGAUAGAUAGAUAGAUAGAUAGAUAGAUAGAUAGAUAGAUAGAUAGAUAGAUAGAUAGAUAGAUAGAUAGAUAGAUAGAUAGAUAGAUAGAUAGAUAGAUAGUACAGGCCAAAAGUUUGGACACACCUCCUCAUUCAAUGUCUUUUACCUUACCUUUACCUACCUUUACCUUUACCUAAAUUUUUUUAAAGGACUAUUUACAUUGUAGAUUAUCACUGAAGGCAUCAAAACUAUGAAUGAACACGUGGAUUUUUGUACUUAUAAAAAAAGUGUGAAAUAGUUGAAAACAUGUUUUAUAUUCUAGUUUCUUUAAAAUAGCCUCCCUUUGCUCUUGAUGACAGAAGUAACCCUGACAAGGCACACCCGUAAAGUAAAAACCAUUUCAGGUGACUACCUCAUGAAGCUCAUUGAGAGAACAGCAAAAGUUUGCAGCGCUAUCAAAAAAGCAAAGGGUGGCUACUUUGAGAAAUCUAAAAUAUAAAACAUGUUUUCAGUUAUUUCACACUUUUUUCUUAAGCACAUGAUUCCACAUGUGUUCAUUCAUAGUUUUGA